CAUUGAUAAGUUCGUUUUUCAGGGAAAUAUUGGAGCAGCUUAUUCAAUCUACGAUAAUGCAAUUCAAAUGCUUAAAGAUAAGGAGGAUCUGCACGUUUUUUGUCUUCUCCAUCUGCACUUUGCCAGAUUUGCUUACUUGGUGGGGACUUUAGUACAGUUUGAGAGAAAUUAUCUUCUCACGUUAUAUACUUGCACACUACUAAAAUGCCUGUGACAUAACCACGUUACAAGACUGAAGAAUGGACUUUAUUCUUGACAUGGAUAGUUAUUUUAUACUGGGGCUCAUAAAACGCCGUAGUACAUUUUUCAUUUUCUUUCUUGAAUAAUUAAAACUGAUUUCUAAGUAUAUUGGUUGUUUCUGUUUACUUUCUACGUGAACAUCAAGCUCGCGUUAAAAUGAGUGCAACUGAACCUAAUGUCUUGAUAAUCUAAAUUUAAUAAUGAUUUCAUUGGACAGCUCAGAAUGUGCCGACUUGCAAUAGGUUUAGGUGUUAAACAACAUCUGUUGUUUAUAUAUAUCAUGUCUAUGGUAUGAUUCGUUUGUGUCGAACAUUGUCUCAAAGGAUUUCGCUGUAUUUCCUCGGUUUGAAGAUGAAUCAAAAGGUGGAAUCAGAUUGCGACUUUGAUAUUCGUUCUUUGGAUGAGGACUUUGGAUGAAUUUUAUGGUAUUUUACUCAAUUCAAGGAGAUUUCUUCUCCAGGUGCAUUGUAUCGUUUGUUCAGGCUUGCCAUACUGAAAAUAAUAAGCAUAUGUUCUCUCCACCUUAUUUACAUUUCGUUGGUAUUUCUGUAGUCUCCUUUUGGCAUGGUCUUUUGAUGGCUUAUUCUUUCAUAAUAAAGUGAAUUUUCCCUGCCUUAAUAGCCUAGGGCCACUCUUGAAUUUUUCUAAGUCCUUCGUGAAAGGGAAACUUUCUAUUUUUUUUGGCGUUUUCCUUAGGGAAACUGUCUGUUUAUUUGAGUCUGUCAGUCAGGUCUCCAAUAACAAAAAGGGAGUCUCGUCUUCAUUGUAAACACUUUUGAAUGAAUGUGGCUUAUGGGCCUAUAUCCUGAAUGAUUAACUGGGAUACUUAUCGGAGACAGUGUGAGGUUAUGCUCUAGUUGAUUCAGUAAUAACAAUUCUACAAUGAAGGAUACUCUUAUUAAGAAUUUUCUUGAGAGAGAACGGUAUUCCAUUUCAUUAGGAUUAUCCGUCAGCUUAAAAAUAUAUUUUCAUUUUACCUUUAGUUCAUGAACGUGUCUGGAAUUGUUCCCAGCUUACUUUAGCACCGCUGAAUAUUUAUAAUAAAAUGAAUUUAAUUGUGUAAACGUUCAGGGAAUGUAAAUACUUUGAAAGAUGAUUCAAUUAAGAGAAAUAAAGAUCCAUUGUCAACAUGGUAUCAGAGAAAUCUGUUGUCAGCAUUGUCAGCAUUGUCAGCAUGGUAUCAAUUCUCUGUGAAUAAGCGUGAUCCCAAUUAAUCGAAAAGAAUGCUUUCAAUAAGAGUAAUCUGUUGUAUUUGGUGCACAAAAUUUAGUUCGAGUUCUCAAUAGGUUUGGAUCAUUAAUUGCUUUGUUCCUGCUUCGGAAUUUCAUGACAAUAAUGUACAAGGAGACAGUUGGCAAUUGGGAAAUAGUUGUCAUACUCAUUAUCCUGAUCAUCUUUGGACUGAAUUCUACUUAUAUGUCUAUUGCUUUUCUGACCUAGAGUUCCACAUAAUUAUUCUGCUUGAUUUGUCCUGGCUAAAAAUAAAACUUAAUAAAAACAGAAAUCAGUUCAAAAUAUUUAUGUUAUCUGAAGUCCAUUCACGUCGUCAAUUACCGUGUACAUUCACGUUGACCAAUUGAAAGUGAUCAAUCUCAAAGCUUCCUGAGGAAAAAAUAUGAUAGUAAAAUUAUAUAUCCACGGAUGAUUCAUUUUUUUGUUACUACCGGUAUGUUCAAUAGAAUUAAUUUUCGAUUUUUCUCAUGCCUAUUAUCUUUCAGGUAACUGGUGAAUUAGGUGCUGCCAGAGAGGUUUUUAUCAAAGGGAUAUCAAGGGCACCUCACUGCAAAUCACUUUUUGAGGUUAUAUCAUUGAUCUCUUUUUGUGUCAAUUAAAUUCGAUUCCUGGCCCCCGUUUCUCUCGUCAACAAACGUUUUUCUCCAAAGGAUUUAACAGUCUGGUAUCAAAAGCAGGGGUGUUAUGAAAUGCAUGCUGUUCAAUAGAAGGCUACUUUAAAGUAUUUUGAAGUGUAUAUAUUUAAUUAAAAAAUUGUAUGUAAAAUCUGCAUUUCGAAUUUUUUUAAUGGUUAUAUUUUUUCAAAAAUCAUAUAUUAAAUUACCGCAGUUAUGCUUUUAAACUUUUAGUUUGAAUUUUCCUUGUUCUCAAAAUAUUAAGUCCCUAAGAAAUUACAUGUGUGUGCUUGUUAAAGAAGGAAUAGCCAUGCUAAUUGCAAGAGGGGCAAGGACGAAGAAGAGGAAGGAAAGGAAGUUAAACGAAAAACGAUCAAAACAUGACAAAACAGCAAAAGGGCACCUUUACGAAUCAUAUUUUUUGCCCUUUUAAGGGCAGUCAGUUCCUAUGUUUCUGUUCUUAUUAUAUGAUUGAUUAUUCUGUUAUGAUCUUUCUCCAGCAUUUAAUUUUUCUCCGAAGUACUUUGACUGGCAACUAGAUUAGGAAAUCUACAGCUUUACGGUUCUUAAAGUCAUAGUUACAUGAAUUUUUGGUGCUCUCUGCUCGUAAUCGGGCCAUCAAGUUCUUUACUAUUUUUUUACUUGUACAGGGAUUAAUUACAUUUAUGUCUAUCCAUGGGGGGACAGGAGAAAUUGGUUAUGUAGAUUCUAUUGUGGAACGUGCCAUAGUUCCAGAAUCAGGUGUGUCACUUGCAUUAAGCCUUACCGACAGAAGGGACGUGUCUAAUUUGUUUUUGCAGGUAUGCCAUCCUAUGCCAUUUGUAUUAUUCUGCCCUUUCUGUUUCAAGGAAAAUAGCCACUUCCCAUAAUACCUCACUAAAAAUGAAUCGUUUGCUGGGGUGGGGCCAUAUAAAGUAAGCAAAGCAGAGCUUUCUUCUUCCAGUUUCCAACGCACCAUGUGACGCUAGGGGUACUUAUAAUGCCAGAUAUCUCUGCAAUAUUUUUCAGUCGAUUUUGGAUUACCUAGUGAAGGUUUGAUUAAAAUCUUUGCGCCGCAGUGUCACUAAACAUGAAUUCUCAGAGGAUGCAGCAGCCAUUAAGACUUUCGUUUAAGAAUUUAGGGUUUUGUGAUUAAGAUUUGGGCUUUUCAAAGUUGAUGCUGGAUUUGCCGUGGAUCUGUCCUAUGAAGUUAAUGAUCCACUGUUAGACAGUUUCUACAGAAUUCAUCUCAAUUGAUAAAGCUGUGCUAGUUGGGCUAGUGAUUCUAUUUCUGUGCAUCUUGGAAUCAUUUUACUUUUUAUGAGGGCGUCAUCUUCUCCAGUACAGAAACUAUAGUGUGAUUUGUGGGUCAGCAAAAUAUUGCACAGCGAAUAACGUUGCACAGUGACCAACCUUAGGCCGGUAUGGGCACGCAGAAAUGGAGGGGCUGUUGAUCUGAUGGCAUGAUAUUAUAGUUACCCGCCUCGGCCUUAAGCUUCAUAAUUGAUGUUGAUGUGUGCCAUAUAUACAUGGGUUUAUUAUUAUUAUUAUUAUUAUUAGUUCACCCUUUAUCACAGGAUCUGAUUCACUGACAUUCAGCCUUGUGGGUAGCGAAUCGCCGUCAUUGUCCAGGUGACUAUGUGUAGAUAUUUUAGUGUAAUUUUCUCAUAGAGAGUUAUUUUCCAAACAGUUUGUGGACCUUUGUGGGACGAUCCACGAGAUCAGAAGGGCCUGGGCUCGACACCUGAAGCUGUUUCCACCUGCACAAGAAGCUGCUCCACUCGGUCGCCGUGCCGACGGUCCUGAGCUUUUGGAGAAGACCAAGGAGCUGACUGGUGCAGGAGACCCCGAUCUUAAGCCUGGGACAGGUCAUGCAGAUAGAGAGGCAUCAACUGAAGAAGAUGAUGCCCGCUCUUCAAAGAGAAAUCUUCUCCUCCUGCAGGAGGGGCCCGCUGCACCGGCCACCAAGUCUCAUCCAGCCGUCGCUGGUGACAGUACAGAGGGGAGCCCAGACCGUUCGCGGCUCCCCAGUGAAGAAGAGGAGCAGGCUAAUCGUUUUCAGGCUAUUCGGCUGCCUGCAGGCGCCGCUGUGCUGCAACAGGAAGCUCAUUCCUUCUCUUCUCUUGGUCCUGCUGCUUGCUCCGUACGCGGCGGAGGGGAGCGAACCCCACCGCUGCCGGGCUGCAAGACUCAGGACGAUCUAAGACCAUCUCUGGAGAGCCUUUCCAUAUGUCUUCCUGAUGAAGGUCAGGAAUCCAGCCCGAGCUCUCCUCGCAGAGGCCAUGGAGCUCCUCAGCCCCCCUGUGGGGAGAGCGGGCGCGAUGUUUGCAGUGACAGUGAGGCUAAAACAGCCCAACACAGGGCAUCUACAAUGCCAGCUACACCGAACAGUCGCACGCCGGAGCAAAAUCUUCGCCAAGAAAAAGUAAACGCCUUUGACAUAAGCCAACUGCCUGCAGAAGAGGCCGCUGAUCCCAAAUAUCCUCGGACCUCUGAAUGGCACUAUGGCGGGCAGCCCUCUGAGCUUCAACCCAGCUUAUCUGGAUAUGCCCAAACUCCACAGCAUCAGCAAUGGCAGGUUCCUAUGCAAUUUCAGUAUCUUCCGUACUCUGGAUUUAAUCCACAAGCUCCCCCACCUCAGGCAUACGCGUAUCAGCCACAGUUUUGGCAGCCAAAUAUCCAAAUGCCCGGCCAGAUUCAGGGCCAGUAUCAGAUGACUGCGGGCCAGGGAUUACCUCCCUGGCCCAUGUUCUGGCAAGCACAGAGUCUACCACAGAGCGGUGGAGAUGGAAGUCAGCAUCAAAUAUAUCAAUAUCAUUUGCAGGAUGGCCACGCUAUCUCCCCUGAGUUCUGGCAUUACUACCAGCAGCAGCUGUAUUAUAUGCAGCAUCUGCAGCAAGGUAGCAUCCAGGUGCAGCAGAAGCAGGAGCCUGGCCCGCAGCAGAAAAACGCUCCGUUGCAGCAUGAUCCUCUGCGACAGCAACAACAAGAGGAGCAACAUCAAGAGCAGCAUCUUCAGCUGAACAUCCUUCAGCUGCGGCAUCUACAAAAAAAAAUGGAAAUGGAUCAUUUGCAGUGGCAGGGCCAGCAACAGGAGCUUCGCCAAGCCCAGGAUUCGCAUUUGCAGCAUCAUUCACAGCCACGAUGCCAACCAGACGACUCACCUGAGUCUUCACCCACGCAGGAUCCUCCAAAAACACGACAAGACCAGCUAGAGCAGUAUGUGCAGCACCAAUCCAUUCAGCAGAAGGAUCGGAUGAUCCUGAGCCGCCAGGAACAUCAACAGCAGAUGUACUUGCCACAGCUGCAACAACAACUGCAGAAGCAGGAGAUCGGGACCUUGCGGGAUGCUAAGACCUCGAGAGAGAGUUACAAUUUAGAGGUAUCUAUCACCUGUCUUGUCUUCGUGCUAUAUUGCAGCCGAGUCUUGGAAUCAGUUUCGAAAAUUUUGACCUAAUUCCCGACGUAAAAAUCUUCUUAGGAUAUUGAAUGCUCUCUUCUCCUGAUAUAAUGUCCUAGCUUCUUCGAUUGAGUAUCAGCUGUAUGCUUCUGUGAAUUCAAAAAAGAUUACAUCACCGGCGCAUGAAUAGAAACUAAUUGGGCCAUGUUGCUCUUCAGAUUCAAGCACCCACUCGAGUUGCCGAAGAAGACGGCGCUGUUCAUCCAAUACCUGAGCCGCCGAAUGCCCCGAUCCAAUGACCCGCAGGUGGGAGAGCAGCUUUGCAUUGGCUUCAUUUGUUACAGUGAGGUCCGCAUCCGGCCUUCGUUGCCCAAGUUCAGACCUCUGGUCCGCGGAUCGUCCGUCAUCCAGCAGAUAACUCGCGAUUUGAAGGCCAUUCUGAAUCUGGCAGAAGCAGCGUCGCCGUUCGAAGCCGCUGAAGCAAUCUCCAAGCCCGCGCCGAGGAAGAGCAGCCGAGCUUCUCCGAGAAAGGGGGCUCAUCGGGCUUCGUCUUCUGGCAGAGCUCCUCCCGAGUUCCCUCUUUCUUUUACUCGGACGACUGAACUGGACCCCGCGGCCCUCAAAUCCCCUAUAAUUGUUGGAUCGACCCCCCUCGCGGGGAUGGAAACGCAAUGAUCUUCGAUGCGAGGGGCUUUCCUGCAAGGAAGACCCGAAGAGCGACCCGGAUGGGAAUAGUCAACGCUCGCAGGGCCCCCGAUUAUCUCUCUCCGCGCCCCCCCCUUUGACUAUCUCCACACACUCCGAGGAACGGCGCCUCCCGGCGGAAUCCUGCGGCAGAUUCUCUCCCUCCCUACUCCGGUCCGGCCCGUUGAAGAAGAGGAAGGGUCGUCCCCAUCGAUCCCCACUCAGCAGAUCCGAAUAUGCCGAGGAAUGCUCUCUCUCUCUCUCUCUCGCGCGCGCGCGCGCGCGCUCGCUCGCUCGCUAGCACUGCGUCGGCGAGUCGACCCCGUCCUCCGGCCGGCUGCACAUUGAACACCCGCGGCAUAUCCCCGGGCAUAUUCCCGGGGGAGCCCCAGCCGGUCCUGCUGCUGCUCCUCCCCCCAACUUGCUCUUUGAAGACGACGCCGUGCCGUACUGUGCCGUGGGAGCAGCCAAUGCGGGGGGGGGGGAGGGCCAUUUAGGAUCGAUCCCCUCCUCUCUGACGACGGCGGCGCCCUCGUCCGAGCUCGCCUAGGGCGCGGGGUUCUUCCGGCUGGCUGGUCGAGGCGGCGGAGGAUGAAGUUCGGGAAGCGGCUAAAGCGGCAGAUCGAGGAGACGCUGCCGGGGUGGCGGGACAUGUUCCUCUCGUACAAGGAUCUGAAGAGGCAGGUCCGCCUCAUCUCCUCCGACGCGCCGGGGAGGGCGUUUUCAUCGCCGCCGGGGAGGGCGGCGGUGUUGGAGUUCGUCCGCAUGCUGAAUGCCGAGGUGCACAAGCUCAACGUCUUCUUCAUCGAGCAGGAGGAGGACUUCGUCAUCCGCCACAAGGUAGGGGAGGAGAAGAGAUUGCUGGACGGCGGCCGCGGUGCUUCCUUCUCCUGAUCCGGAUCGGUGGUCUCUCCGCGCAGGAGCUGAGAGACAGGAUACGCGCCGCGGAGGAGACGGUGGGGCCUGGGAGCGCACGGCCGUCGGCGGCGGAGUACGCGGCGGAGAUGGGGAGGAUCAGGAGGGGCCUCGUCGACCUCCACGGGGAGAUGGUUCUGCUCGUGAACUACAGCAACGUCAACUACACGGGUCCUCUUCCUCUCUGAUCCUCGUCAACAUAUCUCAGAUCCUUUAGAUUCUUUCCUCGCUCGUUCUCCAAGUUUUUCUAGCAGAAUUGGCAAUUAUCGUCGGCGAUGAUGAGGAAUCAAUCGAAUCUACCCUGGCCGCGACAGGGCUGGCGAAGAUCCUGAAGAAGUACGACAAGCGGACCGGGGAUCUGCUGAGGCUCCCGUUCAUCGAGAAGGUGCUGACGCAGCCCUUCUUCACCACGGACCUCAUUUCGAAGCUGGUGAAGGACUGCGAGAGCACCAUGGACUCGGUGCUCCCUUCCCCGCCGCAGAAGAACCUGGAGGGGAGGGAGCGCAGAGCCAGAGCAGUGGCCCUCCCGCAUCGGCGGCCCGCCGGAGUAUCGUCAGGAACACGGUCGCCGCCCUCGUGACGAUGCAGGAGCUGCGGCGAGGGAGCUCCACUUACGGGCACUUCUCCCUCCCCCCGCUGAGCUUCCCCGAGACAGAUCUGCUGCAGGCCCUUCAGCUCCCAUCGCUCAUCUCCAUUCAGUGAGUGAGAUCCAUGAAGAAGCGACCCAUUUUAGCAGACACCCCCCCCCCCCUUCUGGUUCCAGACGACGGGGCGUGACGGAGGAAAAUCAGGGUCGCCCGGAGAAAGGAGAGGCCUUGUUAUCGACAGUCAGUAGUUCUUCUUUCGACGUGCUCGUCGCGGGAUGGGGGCUCUGAAUCGCCUCCCCCUUUGCUCCCCAUUAACGCGCUGGUUACUGGAAGAAGAAGACCUCCCUCGGUUGCUGGUAGCCGUGUUGCAACUAAUUAAAUGAAUAUUAUUUUUAUUCCGAUAUCUUUCAAAUCUAGAUAUUUUCCGAAUAUUUUCAAAUCUAGAUAUCUUUCCUCCAUUUUAUUAAAACUUGUUUAUUUUUUAACUGGAAGAUGGGUUUUUUUUAUUCUGCGAGAUAAGCGCCCACUUUUUAUACUUUCUUUGAUUGUGAGCCUUCACGAGUACUGGUGGCUGGCGCUUGAGAACCUCCAACUUGACAUGGUCAACAGUCAAGGUUAGGCGCGUGCAUGGAUGAAACCACAAAAACGGGUCCAAACUAGAUGACGUUCGUCCACCUGUCGCUUCCACAUACGCGUAUGGGUAAGUUGACCCAAGAGAGAGAGAGAUGGUGACGUCACUUCGAAGUUGAGUAGGCUGCAAGUCAUAGCAUCCACAAAAGGUAGCUACUCAAUAAAGGUCGGAAUCGUCAAAGUGGUGCAAGCAUGUUGUGGGUUUUGCUUCUAUCAGAAUUCAUGUAUCUUUUUUGUAGUUUCAAGAAGAAGGAAAAAAGUUGCAUCUUUUGCAGCCUAAAGGGUAGAACAAGCCCAACCCAUGUUGCCAAUUUUCGUACAAUUGAUAUUUUCAAUAUAUUUUUUUAUUGAAUUUUAGGUCGUCUAACUACAUAGUGGUUUCCCAUCCCAUGUUGAAGAUUAAUCUUUUGUUAAAAAAUAAAAUGGCUAGCAAAAUAUUUUGCAUUAAUCAUAGGAAACCAAGAAGUCAACUAAAUUAGUUUCAUUAACUUUUUCAUUGAAUGCAUGUUGGGCUUAUUGAGGCCAAAAAGAAAGAGGGUAGGGCUAUUUAAUAUUCGGCUUUCAGAUGGGUAAAGUUGGAAAUAAAUUAGAUGUAACAAAUAAGGAACAUUAUAAUUUAGGUAAAGUGGGCUCCCUAUCGACAAUCAAGGUGAUAACACAAGUGUUGCUCAUAAUCUAUAUUGGUUCCUGUUUUAUUUCCCCACUCAACUCUUUACAAAUGUUUUGUCCUAGCUCAACAUUGUUAGGAACUCUUUACUUAAAGCCGCUGGUUGCCACUAAGAGAUUUUUACCUCUGUAGAGAAGAUAGUCUAUGAAAAAAAGCUAAGUUGAACCCUCAAGCAUUAGUUCCAAACCUUCAUUUUAGUUUGACGUAUUAACAUAGAAUAUAAGUUGUUGUGUUAGCUUCAGCACCCAAAAGCAUUAUUCAAUGAGAACUGAUUUGGAGAACCAUUUACUUGUCAUUGUUAAGGUUCAUAAUUCUCCUCAAAGCAUUAUACAACCUAGAUUGAGCUUUACAUAAUUACCUAUUGACUGUUUCUUCUCUCAUAUAUUCUGAAUUUUAAAGUUCCUCCUAUGAAAACCUCACUAUAUUUCAUUAACAACUUUCUGUUGUACAACCAUUCUAUUGAUAUCUUCUAAUCUUGGUCAUUGUCUAUUCAUGAUGUCAAAGCAUAGACAUACUUAUACUAUCAUCAAAAGUGUGGCUUAGUAUACUCCCAUAUUGUAUAAUGCCAUCUUACACUCUAUAAUGCCAUCUUAAAAAAUAUGGAAUCAAAGGUGUGGCUUAGUAUACUCCCAUAUUGGUGGAGGAUCUUUUUAUAAUUCUCAUAUGUUAAAAUUUAGAAUAAACUUCUCAUAAGUUAAAGCAAUGACAUUAAUACACUCUUUCAACUAUAAAAGCACAAAAAAACAUUUUUCUAUCACUCUUUUUUCAUCAACAAAAUUUAUUUGGGUCUCAAAACCUCAAUAAUAUAGUGUCAUAUUUGAAGUCAAUAUCUAUUACACAAUCUUAUAGGGUUAAGAUUUUUAAAAUAAUUGCAAUAUCAAUUCCAUAUUUUUUUAUAGAAAUUAAGGAAUAAUGAUUUUAUAGAAGGAACAGUCUAUUAGAAAUCUUUAAAACUCACAUAAUAAUGGUACUCAGUUUUAAAGUUAACUUAAUUAUACAACAUUGGAAUUGCAAGGAGAUGAAAAAUUAGCAACUAGAAAUCUCAAAAUUUCUAGGUAAAGGAAGAACCAUCAAACAAUAUUAUUGCUUAAUACUAUACCAUUAUCUCAUACAUCAAUAAAACUUUUUCAAAGAAAAUUGAAGCCUUAUCAGUUAUUUCUUAUCAAUUUAUUUUUUAAUAAAAAUAUUUAUUAUUUAAUGUAAGUUAAAAUUUUAUUUUUUAAAUUAUUUGUGUUUGUUCUACUCAUUUUGAAUGAAAUUAAAAUUCACUUUUUCUUGGUUGUAUAAAUAAUAAGAAGUAAAGCCUCUAUUGGUUCUUAUGGAGGAUAGGGAGAAUACAAGGAGGUAGGAGUAAAUUAUUUCUUUAAAUUAUUUUCAAAUUUUGGUAUUUAAUUAUUUCUUUUAGUUCUACAUUAGGUGAUUUGGCACAUACUCAAGUUAAGUCAAUGUAGACUAACUUGGAUCGACAUAAUAUUGAGGUAAUUGUUGAGUUAAUGAUUUUGAUGUUCACAACUAAUCAUGAAAAGAAAGAAGAAUUAUUUUACUAUGCUGGUGUAUAGAUCAAGAUCGAAAUCAUUACAUCUAGUCAUUUAUAUUUUUAAAAUAUAAUUUUCUAGAUAUACUAUUACUACAUUAAUGUUGUGGAUCAAGAUCUAAAUCAUUAUAUCUAGUCCUUUAUUAUUGUUAAAAUAUAUCUUAAGAAAAUAGAUAUCAACUACCACAUAACUGAGAAGAAAAAUAAAUCAGAUUACAAAAAAAUUAGAAAGAAAAAGAGGAGAGAAAAAAGUUUCUACUCACAAAUCUGUGUCAGCCAUCAAGAAAUGAAAAAGAAAUAGACACUAGGCUGACUUAGAAAACCUUGUGUCAACUCAAGUAGAAUUGGGAAAGAGAGGUGAUUCUUGAGCCAAAAAUAUUUGUGGACAGAUUCAAAAUUGAGGAAUAAAAUGAAAGUUUUCAGACCUAAAAAAGCCUAUGUUGACUCAUCCAAAAUUGAGGAAGAGAAAUACAGUAUCAAGUCAUAAAUGCAUGUGUCAAUCCAUUAAUAGAUGUCCCAUCCCAUCCAAAACCAAAAAGAGAGGAAGUGUGUAAAACAUGUCCUAAGCAAGAAAAGUUAAGCCAUUCAACCUAAAGGAAAAGAAGAUUUGACUCACAUAAAAUGCAUUUUGACAUAUCAAAAGAUCAAAGAGUUCAAAAAGUUGGUCAGCAAGUUGGACAAACUAACUUUCGUGUAGUCUUACUAGUGGGUCAAUGCAAGUUUUGACCUAGGUAAUUUUUGAUCAAUCAAAUCGUAGAUGUUGGGAUUGUAUAAAUAAACCUUCACAUGAUCUUUCAAACUUAAACUUAACAAUUUCUCAAUUUCACCAUAAAUUCAGAAAUUAUUCUUAAAACUUUUACCAAAAGUGCAUCAUUAUCAAGGUUUUGUCAAGUGUUUAAUCAUUAGCAACAUCAAGUAGGCCCAUUCUCUUAGAAUUUGUAUUGAAAUAUAACUUCUCUAAGCAUAAAUUUAUAUGAGAAGCACUUUUGUCUUUCCAAUGAGAAAAUUCAGAAAUUUGAGUAUUAAUUCAUUCAAAAAUUACGUAAAUUAGAAUUAGGAAAAGGACUGCUCAAUCUAAAACUAGAUGAGGAUUUUCAUUGUGGCAUGUAGUAGACCGAAACACAUUAGGACAAGUUAUUAACCAGAGUAUAUGGUCAAAACUAGGAAACCUUUGGAAUUGUUGUAAAUGGAUUUCUUUAGUCCAACUAAGGCAUAAGUCUUAGUAGAAAAAUAUUUGGGUAUGCAAUCAUUCAUGAUUUUUAUAAAUUUACAAGGGUAAUUUUCUAAAAAGAAGCAUAAUUAACUCAAGGCAUUUAAGAAAUUUAACCAAAAAUAAUAAUAAUGAAAAUAAAUUGAAGAAUAAAAUUAGACAUGAUCAUGAAUGACAAUUUAAAAGUUUAAAUUAUUGGGAAAAAAAUUGGUAAUCAAAGAAAACCCCAUGAAUUUUCUAGUACACCUCAACAAAAUGGUAUUAUGGCUUACCACUAUCCUAAAUAAUUUUCUACUGAGGAGAUAAAUGGUCUAUUAUAUCAUGAAUAGAAUUGUGAUUGAGCCCCUAGUCAAGACAAUUUUUUUGUGAAUUCUAUUAAGGAAAGAAACAAAAUAAUAGUUACUUUUACUUUUUAGAUGCAAAUUCUUUACUUUGAGGACAUAGAAAAUUUUGAUUCUAGAAGUAAUGAAAAAACUAGAGUAUUGUGAAAAUUCACUUUUACAGUUUACAAUAAAUUAUAGGUUAGGAAACAACAAUUAAGAAUUUUAUAAAAGAAAUAGAAAAAAUUUUAGUUCAGGAUGAUGUGGAAUUAUUUGAAACUAAGGUUUAAGAUAUUCAAUUAGUGAUGAUGUGAUGCUCUCCGAACUAUAGGAAAAUAUAGAAAAGGAGAGGUUUUUAAGAGAAGGAAACUAUGUCAAGAUUCAUACAAUUAAUCAAAUUUUAGGGGAUUUUAAGAAAGGACUCUAAACUAGAUCAAGAUUUAAAAUUAAAAUAAUUGUGCAUUGAUUUCUAAAAUUUAGCCAAAAAAUGUUGAGUAAGCUUUAGAGAGUGAGAAUUAGAUUUGAUCACAAAAAAAGAGUUUAAUCAUUUUAGGUUGGUAAUAUUUGAACCUCACUCUCUAGGAUAUUCAAUAUGCUUGUCAUAGGAACAAAUUGGACUGUCAAAGAUACACCAACUUCACAUAAAUCUCGAAUAUGGAAUCUAAAAGCUAAUAUGUGUGUGUUUUACGUGGAUCAAACGAUGGCCCAAGCGUCGUUGGAUUGAUUUGAUGUCAAUAAUAAAGUUGCUUAUCCAUAAGAGAAGAAAAUGCAUUUCAAAUUUCAAAUCAGAUAGACAAAAGAAUGAAAUUUUUUGAAUCAAAAAAUAUAAAAAGUUGUUACCUACAUAUUCUAAAAAAUGGAAAUAUUUAGAAUUAAUUUUUUAAUAUCUAAUGACAGAGUCAAAGAAAGAAACCACUAGAGGAUGACACUUAUAACAAAAAAGAGGGUUUAGAAAAAAAGAACAUAUCUCUACAACAAUUUACAAUGUAUAUCUUUCAAAUUUCAUUCAUUAUGAACUUUAAUGAAGGACAUAAUAUUACACUUGAUCUUCUUAUGAUAUAAUGCUACAUUCAAUCUUCUUAUGACAUCAAUUUUAAAGAUUUAUACUCUCCAUCAGGCCCUAAGGUAAUUAUGUGACAAGGGCAGAGACAUUUAGGCAAAGGCAUAAAAUAUUUGUAGUCAUUUUUUGUCCUAAAAAAUUGUGGUACCUAAAGAGACUGAAUUAAAGUGGUUAAAAGGUUAAGUCCUUAAAUGAUAGUAUAUAUUUCCUAAAUAAAGUAGUGAAAUAUGAUAUAAAGGAUCUUGUGAAAUUGAAAGUAGUUAAGUGAGUAAUGAACUAGUAUAAAAAUUCUGAUUUUAUAAGUGAGAAAGAAGAAUCGUGAGAAUACCACAUAGAGAAAGAGAAAAUAUACAUAGAAGAAAAAAGAGAUGUUAGAGAACCCAUGUCAACAUAUUUAUCAAUAACGAAAAGGCACAAAUCAACAAAAAUCUAUAAACACUCAAUUCAACCCUCUCUUUUUGUAUUUCAUCUAUCAUGUUACUUUUUAUAAAUAAAGGAUCAAUUUAUUAGAAAUUUCAAGUCAUACUUUUCCCCUAAUUACACAUUUGAAUGAUUAAAUAUAAACAUGACAUCUUUUAAGGGCUUAGAUAUCAUUUUUUUUACUCCAAUAAUACAAUAAUUACACUGCUAACAUAUAUUUGAAGGUAUUAGUUUAUGCAUACUUGUAAGAGUCUUCACAUCAGCAUUCAACAUCAAUAAAUUACCAAAUUUUAAUACUUCUAGCGGAAUAGAUUAAUGAUUCAAAUAGUAUUCAAAGUAUCAUUAAUUUAAUUCCAAAGAAAUUGAUCAAAUCAUGAAUGGAAAAUAUUCAAAGUAUUUUUUUAAUUAAUAGACAUCAAGUAUAAUAUUUUAACUUUCAUCUCAAUACGUUACUUCAAUCAUUUGAAAAUUCUUAGAUGACUAGAUUAUGACUUUUUGGUAUCAUUUUAGUAAUUUUCAUCAAGUACAAUGAUGCUAAGGGAAGUAAUGAUUCCUAGUCAAUUUUCAAUCAUUAUAUUGUAUUUCAACUCAUGCAUGUCAAACAUAAUCAUUGAAAUAUCAUCUUAAUACUUAAUACAACUAAAAUCUAUUACAAAUAAUUUUAAAGUCAAUAUCAUUGAAUCAUAUGCCUAGUUCUUGCAGAAAGGAUAUGUUUUAGAAUUAUAAUCACAAUUUCUUUAAUUAUUUUUGUAUGCAUGUUUUUCCUUAUCAAAAAUUUUUUGAGACAAUUAAGACUCCUAAAUUAAAUAGAAUCCAUAAUAAUCAAAAUGGCGUGUUUUUGAGUAGUUGCUUGAACUAAAAAGCAAAGAUAAAUCUUAAAAGAGAAUGAAAAUUGAAUUAUUAUCAUCCUCCUUAAAUGUUAUAACAUAUUGGCCUUUAAAUAGUCUUUUGUCAAUUUUUAUUCUCUUAAAAAAUCUGAUUGAUGAACGAAUUUACAUUAAAUCAAAAUACUAUGAAACAUACUUUCUAAUAAUAUAGAUAUGGCAUUGUAUCCAUGCAGACUUUUAUUGGCUUAUUUUAAUUUGAACUUAAACUCAUUUAAUGACUUUCAACCUAUGCAAUCCAUAUUUUACUAUGGAGUCACAUGUACCACAUUAGAAAGUGCAUUUGAUUGCAUAGUUAACAUCUUUGAUAUGAUGAAUGACAAUUCAGUGCUAAUCAAAAUCAAAAAAUUUACCCAUAUCUACCAACUUAUCCUCAUGGUUCUUCUGAAUAUUCUACUUCUGCAAAAAAGAUAGUGAUUAAUUGACACUUACUAACUUAAUUUUACUAUGGAGCAUGAAAAAAUUUUUCUUCCUAAGUUCAUCAUUGCUAUCAUGAUGAAAACUCUCAGCCUUUUACACACUCACAACUUGUUUUAUAAGUUACUAUUUCCUUGAUCUACAUAGAAAAUCAAAAAUCUGGUCACAAAUACUGACUUUAGAUUGAAACUUGAUUGAUCACGUUGCCCAAUUUAUCUCACAAAGAUAUUCCUUCUGCUAGUCUACUUAAGCACUUUGUCAUUGAGCAUCUAUCAUUUUACCUAACCUAUGUCCAAUGCUGGCUUCACAAAGCUCUUAAAUGUUAAUGAUUAAAUCAAAGAUUAGGCAAAAGCUUUUGCCAAUAAUGUGAUGGACAUUAAGCAGUGAUUAAUUCUAGAAUUUUCUUUUUUUUUAAUAAAAAAUGAUGGAGAGGUUAUGCAUCUUGAGGGGAUCAAGCAUGUAUCAAGAAACUUUGUUUCUUUAUGACUGUUUGAUGUUUUCAUGUAUGGACCAAUUGUCUAAACUUCUGAAUUGUUGAUGUAAAAUUGUAUUCCCCUUUUCUUAAUUUAUCUUCUUUUGUUGUGAUUCCUAUGGUGUGUACUAAUUGUUGUACCUAGGAGUAGCAAUCCAAUCAUUGUGAGAAAAUUGGUGUGGUUGCUGAGAAUUCAUAAUAUUCAAAAAUCAUUGACAACCCAAAAGGAUGAAAUAUGACUAAUGGACUAAGUGAGAAAAAAAAUUAUACAGGGGAAAAUGGACUGAAAAUAUUAGUUGAAUUGUUUUUUGAUGUGCCAACAAGGGGACAUAAUGAACUAAAUAGUGAAAUGAAAAUACUGUUCUCAUUCAAUAAAAUUAGAAUAAAGAACUGAAAUGUGGAAUGAAACUUAUUUUCGUGCUUGAUGUGAGAAGCGAGAAUCAAGGUGAGUGGAUGAAAAUUAUCAUUGAGACAAGUGUUGAGAUUAUUCAGGUUUCAUUUCUUCCACUUGUUUGAACAUUUCCCCCAUAAAAUGGUGGAGAUUAUUCAUGUGAAUGAUAAUUUUAGGAUGUGAAAUCUGCGAAUUGCCUUAGUUUAACUAUCAAAAGGGCAAGGGUGGAAUCAGACAAAUGAUUUUUACAUUGGACCAUUGAGCCUCACAUAUGCUAGGAACUCAUGAAAAUUGUAAUUAAAAGUACUCAACGCAAUAAACAGUAAAUCAAGAAUUCAAAGAGUUCAAAUUGUCCUGAUUUUAUUUCCACUAAAGUGAAAAGUUAUUUCUAAAUUGUAUAAUUUAAUGUGAAAAAUAAUCUAUAUUUUAACUUGUGUUAAAGAAAGCAGGUCAAAUAAGGAAUCCAACAUAGCAGAUCUGAUGGUUUCGAAUUUUUAUGUAUUUUACAAGGUUUACCAACAUUUUCUUGCAUUAUCCGUCACAUGUGCAGUCCAAUACAGACCACUCAACUAAUUGUUGAGAUGCCUGUUCGGCCCAUUAAGCCCAGCAUAGAAAUAGGGCUUUCACCCAAAAAUGGGGCAUCAGGAAAGAUCAAAAGAUAGAGCACAGGAGUCUAUCUCUCUGCCCUCUUUCUGCUUACAGAAAUCUUCUAGAACCCAAGCUGCAAAUUCAAUGUCUCCAAGUUUCUGCAACUCCUGAUAGUUAUUUGCGGCUAAAUAUCUUUGAAAAGCUUCCUUACAAUCUUCUUCCUCAACAGCAAGAUUCAGCAUCCUAUUUGAAGGCAUGGGUAUGCCUCCGUAUUUCUUGAACUGCUAAUAAUUAUUUACCGCUAAAUAUCUUUGAAAAGCUUCCUCGCAUACUUCUUGCUCGACAGCAAGAUUCAACAUCCUAUUUAGAAAUAGGCGGUAGAAACAGCCUACUUCUGUUGGGUUUGAAUUUCUAAAGGCUCUCUAGGAUCACUUGUCUCAAGAUUUGGAGGCUAGAUAGAGCUUGAACAUCCAGAAAGGGGAGAAAACCCACAUGAAGAUAUAUCGUGCAAGGAAGAGAGUAUGAUCCCACAAAGCCGCCCCCACUUGAUCUGCUUAUUGGGCGAUAAAAAUAGAAUUUUCAUUCUCUUUGGGGGGCUCAUAUUUUAUUCUGGAUUCAAGCAACCAUUAUCAGUUCAAAGGACAACAUUUUGGAUCAUUGUGGAUUCAAGGAUCAUCAAAAUUAUUUAUUGUGGAUACAAGCCAAUGGGAUUUCGCAGUGAUUUACUUAUGUUGGUCCGUUGAACUUCAUCCCCCAAUUGACAGUUUUGUAUCCACUAAAUCAUGGUUGGUUUUUGAGGCAAGAGAUUUGUGUUUGGAGGUCAACAUCAAUCAGAAAGAAACGGUCGAGUGACGUGUCCUUGGCGAUUUCAUUAAAUGGACGAUAGAAAACACAGCUUUUGUUUGAGAUCUUCGUGAGAUUAUUCAUUCUGAUGUUCUUCAAAAUGUUUGGUUAGUGGGCUUUUUGGUAGCUACACAUGCAUCACUAUUGCCCACGUUCCUAAGAUUCCUGAGAGAUUCAGGCUCUUCUUCUUCAUGCGCCAUAAAUGGGAGGUUAACGAAUGCUGCAGCCUGGGCCCAGACUAGCCAGGGGAGUGCCAAUAGUGAUCACCGGCAGGAGGAAGAACAUUAACAGUUGAACAUCAAAGACGGGGGCGUAAAUGGGCAGGGAACAGUGGGGUGGAUAAAUGCGCUGCCACCUGUGGUCCAUGUGGACUACCACGUGGGUUUCCGAGCCGUUGUGAUGCUAUUUCCUUCAUUUAUUUCUUUAAGGGUCGUUAUUUCUCUAGGAGCUCAAGGCGACUCCCCGUGAGAAGAUGAUUUCUGUUCCAAUGGCUCUGCGAUGCGGGAACAGAUGACGAGGGGCGUCCUUCGAUUCAUUCGGCGAGAGAUCUCGACCGAUCACACUCGAACAGAAGUAAAAUGCCAUCCUUUUCAGGUACUAGAUACAAAAAAGAAGCUAAUUUUGCUCUUCUUCUGGGAAGAAAACAGAGACUCAGCUGUCUCCCCUCGUUGGUUUUCCCCAGGACAAGGGGGAAGUGAGCUGAAAACGCGCCUCCAGGACGAACACCAUGUACACGAUGAAGGAAUUGGGCAGGAGAACCCGCAGCCGGAGAGGGGAGAGGGAGAGAGGAGAGAGGAGAGAUUUCUGACCUUUCUCGUAUCCCUCGUCCUGUUCGUCGUGGUUGCUGGUUCUCGUCGUCGAGGGGGGUUUGCUUCGGACAACCCACCCUGGCUGAUCUUGUGUUGUGGUUUUCGAAGAAUUUGAAGAAAUGGAAGAGCAGGGAUCUGUCCACGGAAUGAAAAAACGGGACAUGUUCAGGGCUCCACGUCGUCCCAGCUGAGGUCCCCGCCGCCUCCGGUGACGACGAUGGCUGUGCCGUUGUUGAAGGCGGGGCACUGGUAGGACGGCCGAGAUCCGUCGCCGCCGGCGCUGGCGGGGCAUCCGGAGGGCCCCACGGGCAGCGGUGCCAUGCAGUUGUAGGAUAGGCAGACCGUCACCCCGUCCGGAAGGGGCGGCGAGACGGCGGCGCCGGCCACACCGCCGCCGGGAAUCGGAAGUGGAGAGUCGAGUCCGGAGAGGUAGUUGUGCUGAGCAUAGAGCGUCGUCAUGGUGCCCGCGUAGAGGCUGCGAACGAACUCCGACGGCAGGGUCCCCGUCAGACGGUUGUAGUUCACGAAGAGGCUGCCGGCCGCCGCCAGACCCCCCGGAAGGGGACCCGUCAGCUGAUUGUGGCUCAGGUCCACCGUCCACUUCGCGAUGGCUCCCGGCUCGACGGGCUCCGGUAUAGGGCCCGACAAGCUGUUCCGCUGCAGCAAGAGCACCGCCAAUGGCGGUGGCACCUCCUCCUCCGGGGGGCGCCGUGGAUUGAAGAGGGCACUGGGUACGGGACCGGAGAAGCCGUUCAUGGAAAGGUCGAGAAAAGCGAGGUCGGGAAAUGAGGCGUCGAGGGCUUCGAGGGGACCCGACAUUGCGUUGUUGGAGACGGAGAUGUAGUGGAGAGUGGCCGGGAGAGGGCGAGGAAGAGGUCCGGUGAGGUUGUUCUCGCGGAGGUCGAGAUGGAGGAGCGGGACGGCGACAGGGGGGAUUUCCCCGGAGAGACCGCCGUUGGCGGCGAGGAUUACGACCCGGAGGCUGGGUAGAGCGAGGAGGGCCGGGGGAAUGGCACCGGAGAGGCGAUUGUGGCUGAGAUCGAGCGUGUGGAGGCUGGGGAGAACCCCUAAGGAGGCCGGGAUGGGGCCGGAUAGAAGGUUUCCGCUCAAGGAAAGGAGGCGGAGCGAGGGCAGGCGGGCUCCGCCGAGCGCCUCGGGGAUGGGCCCGGAGACGCGGCCGGGGGAGAGGACGAGCUGGGUGAGAAGCGUGAGGUUGGCAAGGGAGGGUGGAAGCGUCCCGGCGAGGCCCGGAGAUCCUGCAGAACCGGCAGAUCCGAGGGUGAGAGACGUCACCCGGAGGGUCGCAUCGUCGUCGGCAGGGGAGCAGACGACGCCGGCGAAGGAGGAGCAGGCGUCGGAGGCGGCAGACGGUGAAUCCAAGCGCCACGAGGAGAAGAAGCCCGAGCCGGGGAGGUCGCGGAGGCUCUGUCUGAGGUCUAUGAGCACAUCAAGGUCCCCGCUGGUCAGACGAGCACCAAGAGCCAGCGUCUCCUGCGGCCGCUGCUGCGCGGUGGCCAACCAGGCCCCUCGCGAGACCAAGAUCACGGAGAGUAAGAGCGAGAGAAGGCUCGCCAUGGCAGCGUGAAGUCGCCCGCAGCGCGAUGGGGUCCGCGAGAGGAUUCUCUCUCCCACAGGAAGCCGGCGGAGAUGGGCGCGCGCGAGAAAUGUCGGCCAAAACAAAGGGCAGCCGCGCUCAGUCACAGGCUUUGUAAAGGCGCGUUCUUGCCAGCAGGUGUGGGGGCGGGUUGGCUCCCGUUGCCUAAUCCUCCUCUGCGUCACUAGCGUAGCAGCGCGGCCGCAAUGAUGGCUCUCACAGGGGGGAGGGGGGGUUUACGGUCGUCGUACAGCGGGACGAGGGGGCACGUGGUGGAAGUUGGACGGACGCCGAAUGGUCCUGCGCCGUUGCAUGUUUCCAUGUCCCUUCUGUUGCGUGACGACACGGCCAACUGGCCGAGAAAAGACAAGGCAUGCUUGCUUGCUUGCCUCGCCUCGAUUCCUUUGCCCGGGCCGACUCCCCGGCGGCUUGCACACGCGGCACGGGGGUUUCUGCUGCCCAGGUUAGGUUCCGCGCUUGGAGAAGAGGUGGGUGAACAGCGACACACAGAGGGGUGGAGGGGCCGGCCUUCCGGCCAGGGAAUGGAUGUCCCGGCAAGAACAGGGAGAAUCUGUGGAGCCGACGCCCGCCCGACGCGGGCUCGCCCGGCGCGCAAUGCUAGCAACUGCAGCAGGAAUUGGGGAACUAAGCCAGAACGGAGCUCGAGCUCCCUCCCGAGGGAGGUCUCGCCGGAAUUUCCAAGAGGGGAUCUUGGAAAGAACUCAAAUAUUGGAAGUCCCUUGGAGGCGGGGGGCCGGUCGCCGACAGGCCUUUUCGAACUCGCGCUUCAAAAUAUAUCAAAGUUGGAUUUGUUGGAACCGACUUGACGGUCUCAAGCUCUUUUCACUCCCUCGUCACUGCUACUGCAUAGAUUAUGCCGUGCUCCGUCCUUCCUUGACGGGGCCUCCCCUGCCCUCUUCCCUCCCCUCGACUGGCGAUGCACGGCUGCGCGCCGCCGGCCAUGGCAUCCUCCGAGCCCUUCCCUACCCGGCCAGCUCGGUGGAGAAGCGCCAUUUGCGGCGGCGUGUCUGGGCUUCUCCAGUAGUCAAGCCUGUUGGGGUUCAGCUUUGUUGGCUCUCGCUCGGACCAGGGUCAAACUGGGUCCGACUCCACCUAAUAUUUCACUCAAUAUUCUACUUCUAUGCAGAUGGGUUGGUGCGACCCAUCAUAAAUAAUUAACCCGCUUGCUCAAAUCUGCUCCUUGCGGAAGUCGAACCAGCCCGACCUUAAUAAAAUACGGCCGACCGAUCUGGUGAUAAAAUACGGCCGACCGAUCUUUACUAUUCUUAGGUGCAUAGUAGCAUGUGCUAACGGCCAUAUUCCACGGCUGCCUAGGCUGCUAACAUAUUGCUUUGUUCUUAGGCACAAAUCCUAACCCAGGUUUGAAGUAACGGAGACUGAUUUUAUUGUUUUACAUGCUCUGAGGGCAUUGGUCCAACGGUGGCUGGUAAUGACGCUCUAACAUACGCGAAGACAGAGAAACUUAGCAAGCUCUGUCUGGGAGGGGAAUCACUCCUGGAUGAUGAUUUGAGUGGGUUAAACUGUUCUUAAAAAAAAAAAUGGUAGAACGCAAUGAGAAAAUAUCGGCAGCAUCAAAUAAGUUUAAGGAAAAAUCGGAAAAGUUUUGCUAUAAUGGGUCCCAGAUAAGUGUAAACGUCAGAAAAGCUUUGGUAGUUUUGCCGACAGUCACCGCUGUUCAUCGAUUUGUACUCCAUUCAAGGUAAAACCGGAAAUGAAGAACAACGAUGCGAGCUGGUGAAUAAACUCUGUUAUGGUAUGAACCCCAACAUGGCUAUUAAAUGAGCAUUCUUAUUGAGGAUAAGAUAUCCUAUUAUUGAGGGCAGCCCCAACAUGGCUGUUAGCUCGAAUCAUUAACAAAAAUGUCGUGGAUGUCACUCCCCUGGUCCCGGUGAUAUUUAUGCCUGUCUCUCUCCCCACCAAAGUGUCUGGAACUUUUGGCAUAUGACAAUAGCUCGUGGGCCUGCCUAUCUCAUCUUUGGUUGGAUCACUCUCCGCAAUUCUCGCGGAAGGCUCUUCUUCUUCCUCGACGUCAGUAUACUCUCAUCUCUGCCAGACGGCUCUCCGAACACCGACAGCGGCGAUAAAUGCGAAUAGGGAGUUCUCAGCGCAUUGCUUGUUAAUACCCCAUGUGGGGUUAAAACGUUUGGAAGAACGCGGUUGUGUGAGUAACUCACAGUAGUGGUGCACUGACGAGAGGAGUUACUCGCCUGCAUGGAUCCUCAUCAUGUGGGCAUUUAAGCGCUGCCGCUGCUACUGCCAUCGUAAAGGACCUGACGGCAGGCCGCCGUUCAAGGGCUCCGACCAGUCGGUCGCCGAGCAUAGAUGCUGAGACGCGUAUUGUUUUCUGUACUUUGCCUGGAUGUGAAUUGUGGCCGUCACCGCAGAAGAAAAUUCGCCGUUUCAGCCUCCCAAGCCUGAAAACUUGACGGCGUACGUAAAGCGCCGCCGGUGGAUCAAGAAUGGAGCAAGUCUUAAAGGUCAACUGAGGAGUCAGCGUGGCUGUCAACGACAACGAGGCGAACGUUUGAAGGGGGUGAAGGGGGAGAAGGGGGGGACCUUGUUGAGUGAGCAGACAACCACAACGGUCUUCAUAUUAAAUGCCAUCACAUGAUCCGCUCUUGGCGCGAUGUAUGAACUUAUAGCCAUCAUUGCUUGCCGGUCACUCUCGCAAGUACCCCCCGGCACAAGAUCAGUCAGUCUUUCGGCUCUUCCCUUUCCCACCCUGCCGACAAGGGAGAUAAGGCCACGAACAUGCAUCAUGAAACUCUCUCUCUCUCUCUCUCUCUCUCUCUCUCUCUCUCUAUCGCUGGUAUCUAUUCAUCUUUAUCCCUGCAUCUCAUCUCAGUCCGAGUCUCCUCAAGGAAGGCCACACACAUCUCUCUCUUUCUCCCUUCAAAUCCCUCUCUCUCUAUCUAUACAGGUCAACGUGCCGACGCCGGCUUGUCUUCUACUCGUCAAGUGCGAGUUCAGAUGGGGAGGGGAUCUUAAUGAAACCUACAGAGUUCAGAACGCUUCGUGCUUCUUCGGGUUGCCUCUAAAUACUGGAGACAGCGACCUCAGUAAAUGCCAAAACGGUGUAGUAAUUGCACAAUGGAAGAGCCGAGCAGGGUCACUGCUCUUCUUCAUGUUGCUGACAACUGACGCGGGGUUCUCUUCGAUUUUUCUUCGUCUUCUUUCUUCGUAGCAUGACAUCACUCAUAAUGGUCGUCACCUCUCUCUCUCUCUCUCUCUGCCGUUUUUUCGUAGGCGGUGGUAUAAACCGUCAGUUGCUGAAGAGUUCCCUAAAAUAGGAUCAGAGUUGACUCGCACCGAAGUGUCUACGCCCACCUCAAAGCCUGAUAUCGUUGACUACAGAGAGUUUAACCAAGUAUAAGCCUGAAACUUCAGAAUUUUAGGUACGAUACCAACUGUCUCCCUACUGCUGCACUGCAGGCUUCCUGUUCGUCGACCCUACUCCAAAUUCGCAGCUGACAUGGCCCAGCUAAGACGCCUCGAAUACGGCAGGUAGUUUCGUACGGAGAGAGUACCUCUUACCAUUGCCAAUGGACUGAGUAGGCUCAUAGCUCAGCUUCGGACCGGACUUGGGUUUCUUCGUGCGCCAGGGUCUAGAAAAAUCAGGUCCUAGAAUAAGAGUAGGCUCUCCAAGGAACUGUAGGGGAGCCAUCAGCCUGCCUCCGCUUGCCCGACUCUAGAACGUGCUCUGUUGCCUAAGUGGAGACCCCCCCCGCCUCCUGCCGCGUAACCCGCGUUGUCUCCAACAUCGGCGGCUGAUAAUCCGCCUGCAUGGUGGGCUCUCCCAGGGAGGAGGAGGAGGGAAGGGGGGGAGACGCGUCGCGCAGAGUUUCACUUCAAUUCAAAAAAAUAAAUUUCAAGACUUGUGAAGAAAUUAAGGGGGGGUAGACUCGGAACGGUAAUGGUUUUGAACGGCUAAAUUGUAUUUAAUGUUCGCUAAUAAUCGAUUUCAUUCGUUCGCUGCGGCACAAGGCGAAAGAAGGGCUGGAAGCGUGAUGGACGCACGUAUCCGGGCCAUCGUCGACGCCAUCCACGCCAGCCCCUCCCAGGCUGUCAUCUACCUCGCCGGAGGUGCCUCUCAGGUGUGUCGGUCUCUCGUUCUCUGCUUCUUAGUUCCCCUCCCUGCCGCCGAUUCCCGACAACUGCAGAAUUCUGAAAAUGGCUGUUUUUUCGAUUGCUGCCUCCAGGCGCUCGGGUGGCUGCUGUCUGUUCCAGGAGCUUCUAACACCGUUCUCGAGGCUUUGGUUCCCUACUCCAAGACCUCCAUGUCCCAACUCCUCGGGAAGGUAACUCGUCGUCUCCUUCCCUAUGAAUAAUUUUCCCUAUUCGGCAUCUUCUUUCAUCUCGAACCCCGACAGCUUGUUUGCGUAUCCGUUUUAGUUUUCUCCUUUCGAUAUGUUCGGCCUGUUGUUCCAUAUUUAUCUGCCUCUUACCCGAGGAACAUUCAAACUCUGGAAUGUGGUGCGUCUGAUGGAAAGAUAAAAAGAAUCGUUUGUCCGACUACGUUUUGAUGGGGGAAAGUUUGUGAAUUAUUUAUUGAUUGAAUGUCUUGGGAUCGAACUCAACUAUAGCCUGAUAUGGCGAGAAUGUUUAUGCAACCCUGCCAAGUUUGAAUACACCUGAACCAUGUUUGGUUCCUUCGGAGUCAUUAGAUGCAACCUCUCGUUUGCAGGAGGAUGCUUUUUCCUUGAUCUUCUCAGUCUUAUUUUCUAUUAGUGGCUUCGAUCCAUUUCAAAGAGGUGGUCAUCUCAUGCAUCACAAACUUUAAGGUAUUUUGGUUAGGCAUCAGGCCUAGCUUUUCUCCCUAAACCGCCAUUGAUAGUCCACUCCAUUAGGAAAUGCAAAUCAGGCUGUGUCUUAUUGAUAUGGUGCAUCACUGGUUCCCUGGCCCAUUUUGUCUCACAAACAGCAUACAGUAAGUUUUAAACUAAAAUAGCAAAAAUAACGGACGAAUAUCUGAACAAGAAUAAAUUUCAAAGAGUGAAAACCUUACCAUAACCCGCAAUACAAACAGGGAGGAUGAAGAAAACAAAUGCUAUGGAAAACCUUACUACAUCAUCUUCUAAUUCUUUUUUAAACCAAGAAUAUUAAAAAAUUGCUUCUUUACUUGUUCUAUACUUUUAAUGUAUUAUUGAGUACCUCAGGUGGAUCCUAUCUCUGAAAACUGCAUUUAAGGUUUACAGUCUAGUCGUGUGCUACCUUAUAAUACUUGCUGGUUCACUUUAUUCAUAUGGGUUGGAUUUACAUCACUGAGGCACUCUUUGACUUAUGGAAGUUGUCCCUAGUAAAGCCCUAAACAUAGGUUCUUCUGAUCCAUAUCUCCUUCUUCACAAGUUUUGAUGUCUUAGCAAGGCCUGUGCAUAUAGUUUAAAAAUAUGUAUACUGAUAACUGGGUUAUGUUAUCACCAAACCAAUUUUAGAGCUCAGAAAAAGAGUUAUCUAAAAGUAAUAUGAAAGAUAUCUACCACUUUUGAGUUUAGAAUUCCUCUUUGUCACAUGACUGCAACAUUUUUUAUUAAAGAGGAUUGUUUUCUUCUAUCAAACCCAAGAAACGACAGAGAGCAUAAAAAAAAUGAAAGAGUAAAUAUGAAGAUUUCAUGUUAUUGCAUAUUUGAAAUCACACUUCUCUGUGUGGCUUAUAUCUUGAACUAAGCACAGAUUUCUGAUGUUAAAAGGAACUGCAUUAUUGUCUUGUUUUAGCAUAAGCCUUAAAAAUUCUCACAUUAUUGCGACCAUUUUGGUAUCUUAGCUCAGCUUAAUCACCUUUGUAGGAAGUACCCAGUUUCUUUAGGACAUGAUGAUUUGAUGCUAAACUAGGUCUAGUUUCUGUUCUUCUAAGAGGCUGGAAACAUAUAUAUUCUUGUACAAGGUGUUUCUAUUCCCGUGUGUUACUGCUGAGAAAUGAAGGCUAUCAAAUCCUGAGAGGACUGCUACAGAGAUCAACUAUGAAAAAUGUAUGAUCUAUUCAUGUACAAAGGCAGGUGUAUCUUCUUGGUUAAGAGUUCAGACAACAGUAUCUCCUAGGAUUAGGGUCAAUUAGGGGUAAUGAAAGGAUCUUAGAUUUAUGAAGAAACGACAACAAGAAAGAUCUGAUAUCUUUGCAUAAUCUUCUCAGUUAAUAUAAUAUAGCAGAGGUAAGGGAUGGUACUAAUGCUUUCCAAUCGACAGAUACUGUGUUUUCCUCAUUCAAUUUUAUUUGACGUCAGUACUUUUUGUCUUGUGGGAAUAUAUAGUUUAGCUAAUUGUAACCUGAAAUGAAUUUUCUUCUGUUGGGAGCUCACUGUUACAGAACUUCAUAGAAGUGACUAUCAGCUCAUGUACUGGAGCACUCCAUAGAACUGCUAGAUUUUAGACAAUAGGCAACAUGUUAUAAUGAUUGGAUCCCGCCUCAUCUCUUCACGAGGUUAAAUUGCACAACCAUGCUACCAGCAAGGUAGUCUACUCAACAUGUGAAUAGUGCAUAUUUUUAAAAAGGCUAUUUCUGGUCCAAAACUAUGUUGACUGAAAUUUUGGAACACUUUCUAUGGGGGCUCAUGUCAAACACCACGACAAAAGGAAAGCUUAUCCAUAGUCAUGGGACCAUCUAUUUUAUACAGGAAAACACAAGAUUCUGGGGGAAGACUCAAUAUGGUCAUGACAAUAGAUGAAAUAGUAUCAUUGCACUGGGGCGAUCUAUUUCAGUAUCUUUUCUGUAGUGUAUGUCAUAUAGUUUCAUUUUAGAUUAUUACUAAGUUACAUUACAAUGUGACCAUACUUUAGUUCACUUGCUGUUCAAGUUCUUGGUCAAGUAUUGUAACCUGCCAAUAGAAUUUACCCAUUCAAUUCAGUGGUCUGGGUCAGGUGAAGAUUGACUGUCUUGAUUGGACCAUAUGUUGUGGUGUAAUGUUUUCAUGUGAACUAUCAAAUAAUCCCCCUCUACAAUGGUCUUGGGUUUUUCUUCAUAUUGAAUCCCUCUGUAACCUCCCAUGUCCUCUAUAUGUUACAGGCCCGUUGGCAAAGCUUAUUGUACAAAUUAUCAUAUUAUUUCACCAGAAAAACACUGUUAAAAUGGCUGAAAUUGCAAUAUAUCAUAAAAAUUAAGCUUAAUGACUAGGGUCGUUAGCUCACUGCCAAAUCUCUAACUCUGCAUACAGAUGGUAAGAAAUACGGAGUUCUGCAAUUAACCCUUAUACCUUUCACCAAUUCUUCAGUUUGUAUGUUGCUUGUAUGUAUUUACCAUCAGUUGUCAAUCUUUCAGCAGAAGCAAGGAGCUCAUUCUACAGUACUCAGAGAAAUAACCCUAAGAAGAUAAUAUUAUAAGCUGAUUGCUGUGUUAAUCAUUCUAUGAGUAUGGUGUUCUGAAAAACAGUCAGUCUCUUUUGGUAUCAUCAUAAGGCAUGCAAGUAAAAUAUCUUGCAAUUUAUUUCUCUCUUUCGUCAAUGAUCAUCCAAGAGGAGAGAACAGAGGUGGCAUUUUCUAGCCAUAGUAUUUUCUGUUGUUUUUUUCUUCUGCACUUUGUUUCUGGACGGCAACAUUGGCCUUUGUCGCCACUUUCAACAUAAUUCUGUCAUAGACUGCUUUGAAAUAAGAAGUCACAAAAAGAGCAAGCCGUUAGAUUAUUGCCUAUCGAAGUUUGUUCGCAAUAUCAUUAACACUUGCAUAGCAUUAGUUAAGAUGAUCUUCAGCAUAACUUUUUUGAUUUAUCAUCUAUUUCCAUCAUGUCUUUCUUUUUACCUUCACUUCCUUGGAUUAUCCCAUGAUUUUUUUCCUUUAUUAUUCUAAUAUUGCAUCUCUUUUUGUUGAUGUAUGCCCUUUUCUUUAAGCUUGCAUUCCUUCAAAAUGACUGCCCAAUGGUUCUUUAAAUAUUUUUUUAUUUUUCUCCCUCGUCAGUUUGAUUCUGCCAGUCUGCUCCUAAUUUUAUCUCUUCAGGCCAGUCUAAUUUGCAAAUUUAUAGCAAAACAGUAUGUGGGUGAAGGUUAUGUCUUUCUGUGGGCAUUUUAUUCGUUCUUAUUCACAGACAAGUACAGACAUACUGGACAACAUAGAAAGUAGAAGAAAUCUAAGGUCUCAUGCCAUUAAAAUCAUGCAUCAUUAAUAAAGUUUACUUUAUUCAGUUGGCUGAAAAAUAUGAUAGACGUUGACUUGGGUAUGUGUAAAUUGCCAAAGAAAAUGAUGAUGUUAAUCAGUAACUUUGAAUGAUAAAUUCUGAUAAUAGAAAGUGGUUGGUCGUGGUAACUUAAAUGAAAGGAUUUCAAUGUUACAUAUUGUAUGUGGGAUUUGUUACUCUGUUUCCUACGUAAUGAAUUUUAGGUUCCUGCGCAUUUCACUAGCCAAGAAGUUGUAGAAGAAAUGGCAAUGUUGGCCUACAAUCGUGCAUUGAAGCUGUCUAGACCAGGUUCUUGUUCUUCAAUGGUUUUCUAUAACACUAAAUCAUAACAGUGUUUUUCUACUUCAGUUAUCUGCUUCAUUCAUCCUUUCAUACCUUUCGUUUAUCUGAUAUCAAACGGAGUUGGCUAAAGUUUCAUUCUUUUGGCUUCAAAUGAAUUUCUCCUUGAAGGCAUUGUUGUUUAGAUUUUUUUGAAGUGAUGUUACAAUAUUGAAUAAGUUCUUAAUUCAUUAGUUUCAAUUUCAUCAUGUUGAUAGAAAAAGGGGAUGAGAAGACACCAUAGAUGUGGAGAUGGCCAGUUUUUCGAUGAGAAGACACUUGUACACCUGGUACAAGUGUGCUUAGGAUACAAAAUUAAAGAUAAAAUAGAAAGACAGAAACACCCUCAUGUUCUUGGCAUUUUCUCUCGAUAAAAUUAUGGAUACUUAUCAUGUUGACCUUGCACAAUGUGUGUUGAAGUCACCUUGUGUAAAUCUGUCAAUCUAAAUAACUAAACAUUGGCCAUUUUGUUGAGGCAGAGAUAGGCAGUGGAAGACUAGCACCAAAAAAGGGAGAGUACAGGAGGAGGAAGAGAUAAAAUGAGAGAAUAUAAAUAGUCUUACCAUGGGCUGUAAGGCCCUUGGUACUUAUACAUAAACCCUUAGAGGUAAAAUCAUAAAUGAUAGAAAAUAAAUAGAGAAACAGAAGGGGGAAUAUAUCUGACAACACUCCCCCUCAAGUUGGUGAAUGGAUGUCAUCCAUGCCCAGCUUGCCACAUAGUUCGUAGAAGCAUAAUGAGGAGAGGUCCUUCAUGAAGAUGUAUGCCUGCUGUUGAGUAGAUGGGAUAUAUGGAGUAAAGAAAUCUCCUGUCUUGAGUUUUUCCUUAAUAAAGUGGUGAUCCACUUCGACGUGCUUCAUGUGGUCAUGCUAAACUAGAUCAUGGGUGAUGUUGAUGACUAAUUUUUUGUCUCAUAAUAGUUGAACUAGAUGAAUGUAUGGAAGUCCAAUUUCAGUCAAUAGUUACUUGAUCUAAAUAGCUUCACACAGACCUUGAACCAUUGCUUGGAACUUAGCCUUUGCACUUGACCAAGCAAGAAUUAGUGAGCUUUACUGACUCUACUUUUAUUUUUUUUCACCCUAAAGGAAUGAUUUAUUUGGGUUCAAUGGCUUUGAUAUUCUACUUUAUGGGUAGAAAAGAUACCCGAACAUUUUUUUUCUUUAUCUACAGGAAAUAGUGAUGUAGUUUCCAUUUGCCAUCAUGAGAUCAACCUCAAUAAGGAUCAUCUUUCUGCCAGAAUAUCUAUUUAAGAACUAUUUAAAUAUUUUUUGGCUGUCAUUAUAUUCAUUCUCUUUCAUAAUCUAUGGAAGGUGCAUUAGCUGGUGGUGGAACAACGAUCAAUUUAUGAGCCAGCAUAAUCUGUGUCCGUGUUGACCUCCAGGCAGAGUUGAGCAUCCUGCCAGAAGAGUAUCUUGUGGCCCACCGUACCUUUGAGGUAACAAUGUGUACGAGUGGCAGCAUGGAGGUGAGGUGCUUGAGGAGCAUGCAUGAAUUGACUCAAAAUGUUGAUCGUGUAGGCAAUGUUGGGUCGAGGGUAGGUGAGAUAGAUGAGCUUGCCGACCAACUUCUGAUAAGACCCUUGAUCAAUAGGUUCCGUAUUUGCAACAUCUACCAAGCGAUGAUUAGUUUUGAAUGAAAGUAUCCAGUGGUUGCGAAGCUGAUUUGUCAAGUUCUUGAAGAAGGUCUAGUGUACUUAUACUAGCAGAUAAAGAUACCCACAACACUAUAAGCCACUUCUAGUCCCAAAAAAUACUACAGUAAGCCCAGAUGUUAGAUCUCAAAUACCAAGGCCAAUCAGUGAGCAAGAGAUUGAGCCUCAAUAGUGUCGCUCUUGGUGAUGAUGAUAUUGUCAACAUAUAUUAAGAGGAGAGUGACUCCCCCUAACAAGGAAUGGUGAUAGAACAUAGUAUGAUCAUCAUUACUUCGUUGAUAACCAAAAGACAUUAUCAAGAUGGUGAAGUGACCAAACUAGGAGGGAGGUGACUAUUGAGGCAGUAGAGCACCUUGUUGAGCUGACAAACAACUAGAGUUGACAAGGAGAUCCAGUAUCCAGGAGGAAGUGUCAUAUAUAUAUCCUCUUGAAGGUCCCCUUACAAGAAGACAUUCUUGAUGUCGAAUUGCUGCAGGGCCCAGUCAAAGUGAUGAGCCAAAGUAAGGAAAAUACAGAUUGUGUUCAUCUUGGCUACUAGGGCAGAUGUCUCCUGAUAAUCAAUACCAUAUUAUUGAGUAUAACUAUUGGCAACCAAAUGAGCUUUGUAAUACUCCACGAAGCCAUCAGAUUGAUACUUCAUGGUAUACACUCAUUUGUAGCCAACAACAUGUUGUCUCAUAGGAAGAACAUGUUAGCAUCAGGUUUAAUUUUUCUCCAAAGCCAGGAGCUCCUUCGCCAUAGCUUGAUGCCACUCAAGAGUGUUUGGAGCUUCAUUCAUGGUGCGAGAGAUAGAAACAGUGUCAAGGGGCAUGAGGAAGGCAUGAUAGGAGGGAGAAAGGCGAUGGUAGGAGAGGUAAUGUGCCAAGGGUUCAAGAAUUUGAGGAGGCUGGGGGGGAGUAGGGUGAGAAAUUGGGACAGAAGAGAUGGGUGGACUCAAGUCAGAAGUGGUGGUGGACUCAGGCCAAAGACUGUAGGUAGAUGAGGGGCACAUUGGAUGUAGACUUGGCGACCAAAUUGAUGCAGUGGUUAGGGGUGGACAGAAGGUUCAGAGGCUGGGAGGGUUUCAGAGGGAGCAGAAGGUUUAGAUGUUUUGUUGUAUCAUGUUUUUCUGUAUUUUUUGAUAUUUUUGCGUACCUUGAAAUUGCAAUAUAACUUCAUGUACAACUUCAUUCAGACAUCUUGGAUAAAAUCUUAACCCAUAGGUACCUAUCAAUUUUAUGAGCUAUUGCAUAAUAUUUUGUUUUUGCACUUGAUGAGACUCACAAAAUUUGCAUCCCUUCUCAAAGAGUAUAUCUCCUAUGAUCUUGAGUACCACAAUCCAUUACUUAGAACUAACUGAUUUAGUAUAUCCUAACAUUCUUCCUAUACCUUACCCAACAAGACCUUUUAUACGAUUUAGAAGUAGUCAAUCCCUUUUCUUUGCAAGAAUAUGAAUGAAGUUUAUUUUGUGACCCCAGUGUAGAAUCCUAAUUCACCCUCCUUUUGAUUCCUAUAAUGACUUGGGACCAACAUUAGGUAGAUGAUCAUCAAGCUGAAUGGCUCCUUUCUCAGUGAUAAUAUCUUUUUUUCUUUUCAUAGUAAUCGCCUUUUUGAACUUCAGUUGAAGGAAUAUGUAGAAAACAACGCAGAGGUACUUAUCAUAUGGUUUGCAGCUUUAAAGUUGAUAACCAAAAGUAAUGAUAAGAUGCAUAGUAGCAUUGAGGGCAGAUUUGUUUAAGAGUAGUUUGAAGUAAAGGUUUGGUGGCGCCCUUAUAAAAUUUUAUUCAAGUUUGAGUCAAUCUUCUGUUUGAAGCUUGGUCAGGAUGUUAAUGAAUGAAAUAAGUUAAGUAUUCAUUGGCCGAUGCAUACAGAAAAUAACUUAUGGUGUAUGCAAAAUUUGAGGUAGAACUUGAUUUUUGAUCCCUGACAUUAAAGUAUCAGCACUUGUGUAAAGUGUCAACUGAUGAAAACUAAGUGUGAACAUUUGAGGCAAAAUAGAAACUGGAAAAAAGCAGGGAGAAGCGACCCCUAUACCUUAGGUGUUGACACUUGGAUAUGUGUAUGAUAUAAAGCUCAAAAUUGUCAGCAUGUAUAUAAAGAAGAAAAAUAAGUUUCGAAGGUGAACCCAUCAUGAGGGGGGAUCGUCACACAAUUAUAGCUUGUUGACUAACAGAUUGACUGCUAGCUUUUCCGAGUUGAAUUUCCAAUUUUUACAUCACCAUGCUUUGGCUUGAUUUAGUUUACCUAUCCCUAGUUUAUUACAAUAAUGACCGUAAACUUAGGAAAUAUAUGCUAAAUCUUUAAAAGAAGGGCUCUUGGGUUAUUGUUUACAACACUAUUAUGUUUUUGAAGUUCAUGGGCUUCCUAAUGAUUGUCAACUUUAUGCAACUUUAUGUUCUCUUUUCCUUGGCUUUAUUUUUUUCCUUUCUUUCUAAUGUUUGCAAUACGUUCCUUUUUUGGUUAAAGCACCUUUUUUCUGACCGUGUGUUGCCAUAUAUCAUGUAUUUCAGUUCUGAGCUGAUGAACAAGGGAUACCUUGUUUUCCCAGAAAAUCUCUUUUUGAAGCUUCCACGCCUCACAUCUGUCUUCAUAGAAUCAUGCUAACAGAGAUAAUUAACUCGGAUGUCAUAAUGCUGUUUUUGGGAAGCCACUCGUCAUCUUUCAAUUCUUCUUACUUUGGAUAUACAUCUUCCUAUUUAUGUAUCCUUAUUUACCAUAUAUAUUGCUGAAAUGAUAGUCUGCCAUAACCCAGUGCCAACAGACGACAUGCUAUUAAUAACACUGGAGUUUCUAGAUUAUCAAGGUUCCCAUCACACCAUUUAACGUGAAACUCUGUCCUCAAGAACAGUCAGCGCUUGUUGAUGAAAGAAGAGGGUGAUACAACCUGUGGCAGGCCAUUGGAAAACCUUUAGCCUAAUCGGCCUAGAAGACAGGGCAAAUAGGACCAGCCUUGACCCCUUCGCCCUGAGUGAGUAAGUUGCUAAAUUGUGGGCAGUACACAAUUAGCAGUGGAAAGAAAUAAGAUAAAGUUGUCCCCUUGGAUGGAAACUCUGGCAGUCAAAAACUAAAAAAGAGAGAGGAAGGCAUGAUGGCCCUCUUGAUCUUGAUGCUACAAUGUGUCUCAAACUCCCUCCUUGAUAUGUUUUUGUUACACUUCUUCCUUAAUCCAUCAAGGCAAAUCUUCUGAUUCCAUUUUCAUUGAAAAGGAAAAGAUGAAGACUCUAAAUGAGAGGUAACGAGCGAAAAAAUAGCAUGCCUCUUGCUUAUAUGUUGGGUCGCAUCUAGCUUCUAUUACUAGUUUUAAUUCCUAUACUGUGGCGGCUUAUAACUUGCACCUCAUUCCGUAUCCCACGAUCACCUAGUAUGUCAAAAGCCUAGGAACUUCUUAAAAUUUCUUGAAACACGGACCCAAUCUUUUUAUCAAUAGGGUAAUCCUUUAACAGAUGGUAUACACUUACACUGUCUUACAAUGGGCAUUAUGGGUAAAACCUAAUAAGUAAUUAAAGGAAAAGAAAAAGACAAAUGCCUAGUUAUGAAUAGUAUUGCACAAUUUCAUGCAGGUAUAAAAUUUUUAUUUCUUAAUAAAAUUAAAAAUUUUAAACAUUAAAGGUUAAGCAUGAUAAGUGUAGUGCCAUGAUGAUGCUAAUAAUUUUGAGUCUUCACAAGAGUUGCAUUUUUUAAUUGAUAUCUUUUAUAAUGGCAAUUCCAUGAAUAGAAACUAUUAAAUAAAAUCUGCAUGAGAUUAAAUUUUUAUCACCCCCCCUUAUUUCGGUUUCAAGGAUAUACUUUUGGUGACGGCCUAACCAUUAACGUGGAAUAUAUAAUGUUGUAUAGCAGUCAGAUUCAAAUUAUAAGUGCAGCUUUAUGGAUGAAUAUUUGUUAACUUAAUACUCAAAGUUCACAUCCUUACUUUAGAUUUAUCCACCUUUUCCCAGGUUUCGCAACUGUGCGUCAUGGAUGUUACUGGAAACAGGAUUCCUCUAAAUUCUUAAGAUGGCACUGGUAUCAAAACGGAUCAAUACAUUUAGCUACAAUCGAAUCAUAACAAGCAUAAUGGAAAAUUCGAAACUGAGGGCAGGAAUUGUGGCCGACUCAAAAUUGAAAUUAAAAACGAAGCUGAACUGAAAGCAAUGGAAAAAUAAGUCUAGCAUAUGACUGACAGUAUUUGCAUGGUUACCAGGAAUUAAGAUGACACUGCUUGUAGCGGAAAAAAAUAUAACUCAUUUGAAGUAGUGUUCAUUUGCCUCAGGAAUCUGAUGGUGGUAAUAAUUUACAUUGUUGUAUUGUGGUGUAUUUCAUAUUUGUGUUUGUAUUUAUAAAACCAUUGAUUUUAUAAAGAUUUCCAUGUAGGUUUUGUGUGUGGAUUGUAUUCUUGGUUGCUGAUCCAUUGUAAAGAUUAUUGUAUGUUUUUCUUUGGAUUUUUGUUUUGCAUGAGUUCCCUAGAUGCGAAUUCUUGUAUUAAUGACUCACAAAGAGAUUUAGUGGGUUUGAUGUCCUUGGACAAAAUUUGAGGUAGCAUUUCCUAGUUUCUUUCUGUUGAUUCUGGCUUAUACUUGCCUUUUAUGUUUAUUAACUGUUAUGCUGUGAAUUAUAAAGUUUUAAAUAUUGUAUUUCAACUCAUGUCAUAGUUAAACAACUCCUUGGCAGGUUGUCCAGUUGUGGGUGUGGGCUUUUCCGGCUCUUUAGCUAGUGUAGGUCCAAAACGUGGAGGGCACAGGUAUUGAUUUUCUGUCUGUUUAUUCGUUAGCAUAAUAGAGAAACUCCAGAUCAACUUGCUUGCACGUAAUAGUUCCGUUUGUGCACACUUCUUCACAUUCAGUUUCAAAUAACAUAUUUUACGAACUAAUUUUAAGAAUUCAUCUAGAAACAUCACGAACAUCAUGAACUAUUAUAUGCUAGUUCUACAUUUCUUUUGGUGAUUGAUUACCAAACUCUUUUUUCAAUGAUGAGCUUAUAAAGCUUGUGUAUCGAUGUCAUUAUGUUGUCAUUUUAAUAAGCAGUGAUCUUACUGCCCAUUUGGGGUAGAUAAGUAACUUGCAUCUACGAACUGUUCGUAUUGGAAGUGGAAAAUUGCGAAAACUAAUGUGUACAUGAAGGUGGUUUCAAAACUUUCUAAAGUGCCAAUUGGAGAAAAAUGUUUUUCGAUUUACGGUGGAAAGGCAUUGACUUUACGCCUUGAGUAUGCCUGAUAUGAAUUUUAUAUUUAUUUCCUAGAUGCUUUUCGCUGAUUGUCACUUAACAUUACAAGGUUUAUUUUAUGAAAUAUGCCAACAUUUUUCAUAUGCGGUCAGGAUGAGCGGGAGCUUGUUCCCUGAAUUUGUGUCUAUUUAUCGUUAAGUAGCUCUACUGCAAUCGGCCAAAAGCUGCCAACCUUCUACAUUUUGUGCAUCUUACUUCUAGAAAAAUUUUGGAGACCUGUGUAGCUAAGUGAUUUGUUCUUGUUUGGAAUGUCUACUCUUUGUCAGGGAUGGCAGGGACAGAAAUGGAUUUGUGGACUUUUCCAUACAUCAUAGUAAUAUCUAUCGAAAAAUAGUGAGAUUUUCUAUGGAUAUGUGAUGUUUUAUUGGACUAUAAAGGUCCUUGACGGAUGAAAUGAGGAUUCAUCACAGUCAACUUCUAUCGUUCUAAAUUACUCAAUUUGGUAGAAUGUGCCCUUGUGAUUACUUUAAUGGUGAUGUCCAUUUGAUGCUGUGCUCCCAAUCCUAUUCUUUAUUUUAGGACCUGAAUUCUCUUUUCUGCUUCAUCAUAGAGUAGAUUUCCGAAUUCAUGCUUAUAUCUUUGUUUUCGGAUUAUUUUCUAGUUUUUUCGAUUCAAUCUCGUCUACGUAAUUACAUUACAUGGAAUAUUUAGUGUUUUAGUAUCUGCUGCUUAAAAAAUAGGAUUACAUGAAUUUACUUUCCACUUCAUUGUCAGGACCAGAAAACAUCCGGUCAAACACGACCGUCUACUUUUCUUUUAUCCAUGAAUUCGAGUUAUUACAUUCUGUUUGCAGGUUUUUCUUAUCAACAAGGACAUCCGGUCGUCUGUGGGCAUCAAAUGUUACCUUAUGUAAGGUACUUAAUUCGUCAUCCAAACUGUCUUUCACUUUCUUUUCCUGGAAACCUUGCAAAGUUUCUGAUAUUGAUUAAUUCAUAUAGGGUCUGCGAAGUCGCGAAGAAGAAGACACGAUUUCUAGCAAAUUUUUACUGAAGGUACAAGUUACUCAAACGUACCUAUUAUUUUUUGGUAUUUAAAAAUAUUUAUUUAAAUAAAUUUCCUACCUGCCUAUUUUUUGAUCUUUGCAAGAAUUUGUAAUACCACAAGUGUUCUAAAAUUUACUCAUUUUUUGCAUUAUCACUUUUCUGACUUUUCGUGAUUUUGGAUUUGGAAAAUAAGCUUGUAAGCCAACGGGUGGUUUAUUGUUUAUAUCAUCUAAAGAGGGUAUUUUAGUUUUAUUAUCAAAUUGGUCUGGUUGUGACUUUUACCAUUUAAUUAUUUAGUUCUGAUGGCUCUAAUUUUUACCCAGAAUAGAUAAAGUUCCUGAGCUGGUGCAUACAACUGUAGUUCCUCUUCAAGUUUCUCUUGCUUGUUCAAUGCUUCAUUCACAGCUAUCAACUUCGCUAUUCCUGGAGAGAGAAGUGGGGAUGGUUUGGGUGAUUUUGUAGCUGAAUCCCAACCCAACAUUAUUACGCCGAAAAGUCCGACCUUUAACAAAAAUAAGAAUUGAAGGUAGACUUGAACCAGAAAAUUAAUGUGUCCGAACUCAACCCAUGCUACAGGCAUAUGCAGCAUUUCUUGCACUACAUUCUCAAUCCCUAUAGAAUUCUUUAGAUUUAUCUUAUUAUUACAAUUAGGUAGUCAUAUUUGCCAAACAAAGAUAAAGCAUUCCAAUUUGAGGGAAGAGAUUUUGUACACAGAAUACUGACACUCUAUGCUUCUACUUCCUACUCACUCUUGUCCUUCCAGUCUGAGGUGAUUCUACUGUGUGUUUGUCAAUUUUUCUUCUCUUUGAAGGUCCGUGCCAUGGUUUAAAAGUUAACCACUUUUCAAUCGACAGUUCAACUGAUGGCUUUAGUUAGUGUUGAUUUCUCUGGGAAGCCUCUGGAGGCACGAUAAUGAACACUAUGGAACAUUUUCAUAUUCGUUUACAAAACAUUUCAUGUUCAAAUCAUACAUUGUAAAGUUUUAAGUCAUGCCCAAAGUUGCAUCUUUAACAUGAUAUUUUAGAUAUUCGUUCUCUUUUCUUGUUUUCAAAAAAUUGGAUAUGCUUUUUUUUUCCUUUUGAUUAUUUCAUAGCAUUUCAAAUGGUUUCUCUCCUCUUGUUUAACAUAAUAUUGGUUUGAACUUUCUUCCUCGUGUUCUUAUCAUAAUACUUCUUUUUGUGCCUAUUAUGUCUAAGGCUAUUGCAGAUGCAUGCCAAGUUUGUGGUACUUCUGACAAGGAACUAACUGAAACGGAAGAUUCACAUGAAUUGGAAAAGCUGUUUGACGAGGAUCAAGAGUUACAGCAGCUUAUAAAUGGGGAAAUAUGCAUGAAAGCAUAUUCAUUUGGUAAUUAUUCAAAGAUUCCAAUGAGUUAUGUCUACAUGAGAAUAGUUAAGUUUUCCGUUUUGGAGAUAGAUCUUCUUAUUCAGCCGCAUGAACUUGCAGAUACUUGUACGUACAGUUCAGAUCAAAAGAUUAUACUUUCAGGAUCAUUUAAUCCAUUACAUGAUGGACACCUAAAGCUUUUGGAAGUGGCAUCAAGGUUAACAAUUAAUUUUAUGCUUCCGCAGAUAGAUGCAUGCAAGUUAAUUGGAGAUCCUUAGUAUUUGUCUCGAUCAUUUCAGUUGUAAAGAAAAAAGCUGGAUCUUUUUCAGGAUUUUCUUCAAAGACAAAAUUCAUCUGCCAUAUGGAUGAGACUCUAUCUUGAUGAUGACCAAUUAUUAUUGUGACAUCAAAAAAUUUAGCUACAUAUAGACACCUGUUUAUGAUUCUAUCAUGAAGUCAUCUCUUCUUACCUAAUUAACAAUGUGAGAACAUGCAUGAUUAUGAAAUAAUAAACUUGUUAUAUCUCUUUUAUAUCAGCUUUUUAACAUUCUAACUAUUUUUUAUUUUCUGUAGUAUGCUUUGCAAUAGGGUUCCGUGCUUUGAGAUAUCAGUUGUAAAUGCGGAUAAACCACCAUUAUCAAUAGUUCAGAUCAAAGAGCGAGUGAAUCAAUUUAAGAAAGCUGGUGUGUUCUUUUCUUUCGCUACUUGUUUAGUGCAACAUAUUUAGUUUUAAUUUGAAUGAUUGAUAAUGAUUAAUAUUUUAUAGGAUUUUUUACAUUCUGUGUAUUUUGUUUAGAUUUACGUCUAGUAUUCUCACUUCUAUUUAAAAGACCAGAUCCAAUGUGAGAUACAUUCUUCAUAAGAAAUGUUGGCCCAGGCAUGAUCAUUGGCACUAAAACUAAUAUAAUGAAACGAAAAACAUAAAUCGAUAUGAUAAUUUAAAAAUACUAAAUAUUAAAUAUUAUGGAAAAAUUAAGACUGUGUAACAGAAACCAAUAAAGGUUUAAAAUUCAGGUCAAUGAUUGUUCUCUUAUAACUCAUAACCAUGAAAUGUAAGAGCAGGCGAUCGUCAAAAAAGUAUCGGUAACGCAUGAGCAGACAACCUUGCUUAAAUACCAUGUAGAAACGUCAGCUGUCAGAUUACAAACUUCACCAUUUAUGAAUUAAAUAGUAAAUAAUAGGGAAUAAUUAAUACUGUGUUGCCAUAAACCAUCAAAGUUUAAAAUCCAGGUCAAUGAUUGUUCUUUUAUAACUCAUAACCCCGAAAAUGUAAAAGAAGACAAUUGAUGAAAGUAGUAUCAGUAAAGCGUUGGCAAACUAUCUUGAUUAAUAACAUGUACAAAAGUCAGCUGUCAGGUUACAAACUUCAUUAUUCAUGAACUAUUUCUGUUUUCGCAUAGUACAUUCUUUAAGAUGCUCAAUGAUUGGAUUACUGACUUCCCAUGUUUCGCAUUGAUAAUAUUAUAUAAAUUGCAUGCCAAGUUUUAGAUUACUCAUUUUAUCACAUCUACAUUUCUAUUUUUUUCACAAAUAUGUUCAAGGCAUUGCCUAAAUGAUGCAUUGCCCCAGGCUUCUAGGUUCACCAGUUGAGAACCUGCUUGGGUGCUCGCCAAAGUUGCCUUACCUCUGUUCUCCAACUCAUAUUGUUGUCAUCGUAGCUGCAAAAAACUAUUUGCUCUGUUCCAUGGCACAUGCUGUUUAACUGCAGUUGAAUGGACGCCAUGUAAGCACAAUCUAGUGGUGAUUUAAACCGUUAAGAUGAUAUUUAUUGCAUAUAUUAAUAUUUUAUAAAAAAUUAUUUAUUAAAUGGAGUUAAUUGUUUUAAAAAAUCGUGUUUACUUAUUGUUCUGAUUUAUAUUAGUUACUUUAAUAUUUAGAUAUUCCACGCGUAAAAUGUUGCUUUAUUUUAAGAAAACGGAAUCUAUUCAUAUAGCUUAAAGGAACAAUGACUGUCACUCAUUCAAAUUAUUUAUUUUAGAUUUUUGUAUGGUAUCAAUGCUCUUUGACACCCAAAGAUAUUCUUUUAUAGCCAAAGAGAAAAUACCUAGUUCACUGACUGUUAUUGAUUGUUUCUUCUACAGUUUAACAAUAAAUUAGAGGUUCUUGCCUUCUUGGGUUCAUAAGUUUACUGUCUGGAGAAUUCAACAGUUUGAUUUGUAUAUGUGUAAACUAUGCGAUAAUUAAGUAAUUUUCGUAGUACCAUGGUGAUUCGUUUCUCUACGCAGGGAAGACAGUGAUUCUAACAAAUCAGCCGUAUUUCUACAAAAAGGCUGAGUUGUUUCCUGGUAGUGCAUUUGUUAUUGGUGCAGACACUGCCGCACGGCUUGUUCAUGUAAGAAAUCUGAACUUGCUGUGUGUGUUGUUCAGACAAUACCACUAGAGGCAUGUAUGCUCGUUUUUGUCUAUACUUCAUGGGAUUGAUAAUUAUCAUUUUGCUAUAUAUAUAAUGAUUUUCAACCCUUCAUGUUUUUCUUUCUUUGUUAGACCCAUUAUAUAUAAAAUUGUUUUGCACUAUAUGAUGAGAUGGAUUGCUUUAAAAAUAUACUACUAUGCUCGUGAGUAUGGGUAGAAAUAACAGUACGAUGUUAGCUAUUGUCAUACAUUUACUCUUGUUGUUGAUAUGAAAAUGGUUAAAACCCUUUUUGCACUUGUUGUCUCUAAAUUAUAGCCCAGAUUUCAAAUGGGUACAAAAAAUACCUUUUUAAUGGUGACGUGAACGAGGAAGUGUUCAUGACGUGGCAAUUGGGAAUAACAUGGGACUCAUCACACUUUAUUUCAAGCAUGAUUGGUAUGCUCGGACAGAGUCAUUGAUUUGAGGACUACCGUUCUACAUUCAUAAUUUUAAUGCAGCCAACAUGAUCCGUCUCUCUUUUGAGAAUGGUCGUCUAGUGGUCUUGCUCUUCUUAUUACAUAAGUUAAUGGUACGUUGAUUGCUGUGGAUGAUUCCACGAAACGGGGCAUGUUAAAAAAAUUUUCAAUAGUCAUUUGGGAUAAAAGAUGUGGGCUAUUCAUUCACUUCUUGGGUGAAGCGCAUAGAUCUCCAGUUCUAUUCUUUUUGAAUCACCGCAUUCUUGCAAAAUUUGAUUUAUGUCGCUUGAUCAGAGAACAUCACUGAACUUAAUUCACGUAUGGAAACUAAUCUUUGGUUGAAAACUUAAGAUCACUUUCUAACUUUUGUAACCUUUCUUAUCUUUUAAUUUUACCGGACCUGGUAUUUCCUAUACCAUAAAUAGAACUUUUAAUUCUUUGUCAUUUACACUUUACUGGUAUUCGUAAGAUUGCUGACUACCUGAAAGGCACUCCUAAUCAUGGAUUGCUCUUCCCAAGUGGGUCUCUUCAAUCCUUGAGUCUAUAGGCUGUUGCAGAUUUGUGUUGCUAUCCUAAUCUGAGAUGGUUUUCAUUGAUUGGUGUGGCUGAUAUGACAUUAUCUGAUUUCAUGGAAGUUCAAGAAACAAGAUUGGGUUACCAAGCUGUUAAUUGAAAUUGAAUGUAGAGCCGUGUACGAAACACGCUUUGAGGUCAUCUGAUUGUGUGGUUUACUUCUAAAAUUAGGUUUCCUUCUUAAUUGUGCUGACUUCUUUACAUGCUAACAACACAAGUGCUAUUCAGAUUGCUGAAAAUACUUGUUUCACAAGUGCACAAAGCACGUUGAAAUCAAUUAGUAUUACAUUUCGUGGCACUUUGAAAGACUCAUCUCUACUAUAUUUACCUUAUAAGGAGCAGAUUGUGUCUCUCUUCACAGAGGCUUCGAUAUCUGAUCUGCAUCAACCUCUUUCCACCGAAACAGAUGUCUUCUCGAAGCCUUUGAUAUUUGAUCAGCAUCAAUCACUCUCCUCCGAAUUCCUUCUAAAAGAGUCAGCAUCAGUUUUAGGGAGAGUUGGAAUGCGCUCCAUGUAAUAUGGGAUAGAAGGAGAUUUAAUGCUGUUAAUAAUGAGCAACUGGUUGGUUUCUGUUUUUAACCUUUACCCUAUUUAGGGAGAGUUGUGUCCACCUGUAUUCUAUUAUUGCUUGCUUCUGUAAAAUAUUAGUUCACUCUUUUGUUUAUACAAAGUCCAUAAAGAGGCUCUGAGAUCUCAUAUUGGGGCAGGACGCUAUGAUCCAUUGAUCUUAUCAUGUUUCUCUUUGUCCACUGUCAUCUUCUCACCAUUGGCACCGACUCUUUCCUCACAUUGCUAGCUGUAGUCCUGUUCAGAGCUAAGAUGGUAAUUACAAGGUCACCACAUCAGCUCAUCUUCCAUUAAGUUUGUACCUGCUUUUGAAUGUGGCAUAUUAUCCUGUUUACAUAAUAUAGAGCUGUUCUGGCUCUAUUUAGUCUCUUCAGUUAUUGAGUGAAUGCUGAGAGAAGCUGGAGCUGAGUGUCUGCUUUUCUAUUUACCGUGCAAGUCCCGUCACCGAAAUUGGGUUGACCAGAAUAUCGUUGCCUCUUUUCCUCUUCUGGUGGACUCAUCCCUCCUGUCUCAACGUUCUUCUUUUUCCAUUCAUUACAUGUGCCCUUGUGUGGUGCUGUGGGUGAGCAGAAAGCCUGACCAUAACCCAAUCCUGAGAUUGGGCUCUGCAAUCUGGCUUUCUGAUGCCAUGGGCAUUGUUUCUAUCUAUCUUUGGUCCCAAUACCACACCUUGGUUGAGAGGAGACUCAAUUUGUAGCUAGAAUACAUAUUCUCGGAGAAAUUAGACCAUUCCCUGAUGGUAGAGGUCAUGGAUGAUGCCUUGGUCAGCAGAGGAGAAGACAACAGAAAACAGAGACAGGCAUAGGUGGACAUCAAUCCACCGUGUAGGGAUAUUUUUGCCUCCCAAAUCCUGCCAUGCCCUCUUUAAUGUAACCAGUCAGGCACCUAGCUUAAUCACUACUAGGUUCUAUUUUCAGUUUUUUCUGGUUAUUUUAACUGCUCGAUUUAUUCUUUUUUUGCAUCAGUUAUGAAUGUGGAUACUACGUAAUUCGCUGCUUAUUCCUCUAACUAGAUGAGGUUGAGGGUUGUAGCAUGAAAUAAUUUUCUGUAGAUCUAUCAGUCCUUAUGUAAAUUUCUGUCCCUAUUCUCAUUCUUUGUGGAAAGCUCUCUCUUUUAGAUUCUGGGGUGAAAUCUUUUAUGAACUCAUACCUGUCUUUUUCAGCCAAAAUAUUAUGGAGAAAGCUAUCACCAGAUGAUUGAAAUCCUGAAUGGCUGCAAAAGAUUAUCUUGUACAUUCCUCGUUGGUGGUCGGAAAAUUGAUGGCGAUUUUAAGGUGUGUCAUAAUGAAGUGACCUCAAAUAUUGUCAUUUGACAUCACAGAAAAGACCUUAACAAAAUGUUUAUUUAUCAGGUUCUUGACGAUUUAACUAUUCCAGACGAACUGGUGGACAUGUUCAUCUCGAUUCCCGAGGACAGGUUCCGAUUGGAUAUAUCAUCGACAGAGAUAAGAAAAAACCAUGGAAUUUGAGUCCAUUCCUACUUCUAGCUUUGGAAUGUGCCCUUUUGAUGCGUUAUUGUAUGCAUCAUUUUAUCCUUGUUUCUCCAAUAUUUCUGCUUUCAUCUGUUGAAUGGAGUAUCCCCCGCUAGGCCUUGGUACACUUUCAUUAGCUUCACUUGAAAAUCACUAGUUGUCUUAUGGGAAGUUACACCUGUGUGACCUAAGUGCGUCACCACCUGCAGCCAUUGAACGAAGUUUAGUACACCAUAUUUUGCAUUACUUACCUUACUGUGCGAUCUUAUCUUGUGAAAAAUUCCAUCUAUUUGACAUGUACAUAUAUCAUACCAGUAAUAUUGAAAUCUUAUGAGGAAAAUAGUUAACUGUGUUCUGUAAAUAGGGAUCACCUACAGGUUUUCAUUUAUUCUUCCCAGCAAGUUAAAAUACCAUAACAUAUUGUACUGAGGAUUCCAUCUUUGAUUGACUACAUCACAGGUACUGUGUUUAUACGUCCAAAUAGUAGAUUCAUCAAUAUAUAAGUUUGUCCUAUUUUCCUAUUUGGUUUAUUCUUGAUUCCUAACUUGGCAGUUUAACGCAAAUAUGGAAUCCUAGUUAAUUUCACCACACUUUCUCUCUUUUAGUAGUGUGGUAUGGCACUUCACUAUAAGCCUACUUACAAUAUCUUUUUUGCACCUUUCAAUCUUCACUGGGUUAAUUAGUCUCUACGAAGAAGUUUUCUGGCACCAUUAAUUUCCUGUAAUCUGCUCAAUUUUUGUUUGAGUAGAGUUUACAUGUUAUAAUAGCCUUCUUUAGUUCAUACUCUAGAACUCUUUGUCGUAUUGUGGGCAAUCUUCAUUAUCCUCAAGUGUGAUAAUGAAUGGGCUAUUACAUCUAGUGCCCAAUAACUCAAGUUCAUCCAUCUUUCUCAUUGCCUACCAGUGUACAACCAUGCUCUCGUGAAUCUUACGGUACUUGGAACUAGGGAAUCUUCAGAAACAUCCUACUGUUGUUGUGUGCCUUCUCAAGAAGACUCUCUUUAGAGCUGCACGGUAAGCUAUCAGUUAAAUAAUAUAGUGGGAACUUAUUCCAUGCUUCUUCUUUAUGGUUGCCUCAUCCUCAAUGGUGCCUUCUUGUAGCUUCAUCCUCCGAUAUGGUCUCCUUGCAAUGGACCACACUAUAUCUAUGAUUUGGGUUUUCAAUUGGUCCAUCAUGAAAUUUUAUCAUGGAAAGGACUUUGAAAUGUAAAUCUUGUUAAUGAGCCAUGCUAAUAUGUGAGAAAGUAAAGCUACACCCAGUGAAAAACCAAUACUAAUACCAGAUGAAGACUUAAAAGUUGUUCAAUCACCGUAAAAUUACAUUGAGAAAAUUCUAUUAUGUUUCAGCCCAAUAUAAGCAAUGUGAGGCAAACUGAUUAGUACCUCAAAAUUUGAGGCUCGUGGCCUGAAGGGAUAAAAAUAUUGACUACAAACAUCUGAAGGCCCAACAUGACUUGAAGCCUAAUAUCCAAGCCAAUGGCCCAAAAUUAUGUAAAUAUUUUUGCCUAAAACUUGCAACCUAGGUGGCUUGAAAGAGUAAAAAAGUGGACUACAAGCAUCUAAAGACUCAAAAUGACUUUCAGUCCAAUAUCUAAAUAGUUAGGUCCGAAAUGUGUAAGAAAUUAUAGAAUUGUAAUUGUUCUAUUUUUCAGUAGCUUUGAUAUGAAGGUUUAAAAUUCAUCUAAUUUAUUGUGAUUGUUAUCAAGUCAAGAGGUGAUAAAUAGUAAUAUUGUCUUUCUCUUUGAGAUAUUUCUAUUUUCUUGUGCAAUCAAGCAAUCCAUAUUUAAAUAAGAAACAUUAGGUUGAUUCUUAUGGAUUCAAGAAUUGUGAAAAAUAAAUCCUCAUUGAUUGAGAAAUUUGGUACCUCAAGGAUUCAAGGCCUGAUUUCUUUACUUCUUCAACUUUCUCUAUGCCAAUUAGUUGUCUUUUAGAGAUGAUAAUUUGAAUUUCAAUAAAUAUAUUUUGAAAUUUAUUCAAAUGAAUUGAAAUUUAUCUAAUCUUUAAAUAGAGUUAAAACAUAGCUUAGAUAUCAAGUUCAAUCUUGCAUUUAAGGGGGAGGUAUUUAAAUUUUUAAUUGGAUAAAAGGUUUUAUUUUUUUCAUAUUUCUUGUAGCCCUAACUUAUUUUUAAAGUUGACAUGAGUGUAAAUUUUAUUUGUGUAUCCUUUAAAUUUUAUUUAUAUUUUAGUUUUUGGUAAUAAGGCAUUGACAUUUUGAACUGAAUUUGUUCAUGAUGUGUGAAAGGUUGAUUCUUUAUAUUCUAGGUUUUCUUUGGAAACUAAGUUGUUAGCCAUUCUUUUUAGUCAAUCACUAAUAUUAUAUAUAUGAAGUUUGUCAACAUUAAGAGAAAGUAAUGUAGUUAAGAGUUUUUAUAAAAUGUAUGGAUCAUUUCAAGCAAACAUCAAUACAAAUAAAGUAAGCAUGUCUUCAUAAAAUUUCAGGGCAGUAUUAAACAUUUUUUAUUGUAGAAAAUUAUCUUAAACCCUAGAGAGAUGAAUCAGAACAUUCUAAUAAAACCAUCCAUAGUAUGUUCAUGUGUACUUGUUUUUCAAAUUUUUUUACUUAUAAUUAGGCAUCUUGAAGUUUGGUAUGUACCUGUAGCUUUUUACAUCAUAUCUAAAAGUUGGUAGAGAGGAGAAUGAAUUUCAAAAAUAGCAAAGAACAAGAAAAUUUUCUACUAUGUUGUGGAGAAAAUCAAGAGAAUCCUAAUUAUAGAUAAAAUAUUGUGAAAAAAAUCAAAAUGAAAUCAAGAAAAAUAACAAUGUCUAUGAGAGAAGUUACAAAUGAUGAUGGGAAAUCUAUUACAUAAUUCUUCUCUCUUCUCCAAUAAGAUUCUUAACAUUGAAAAAGGAUCUUAGAGUGUGCCAGGAAGGCUUCUUAACGUCUUCUUUUUUCUUCCCAUCGGAGUUUUUUCACAAAGACUCGCCAUAGUAAGGGGGAAGGGUGGAACAAGCAAAGCACACUUGUAGAGCGCAGUACAGCGGAGAUGUCCAAUACUAUUUGGUAGCCUUUUCUAUUAUUUAAUUUAGUAUAAUGUCUACUAUUUCUUCUCUUCCUUUGUCAACCACUUAUUUACUAAGGGGUUGUGCCAAGUGUUAAUCCUAUCUAAAUAGCACAUCAUGGG
rnacentral:lncRNA from 1 species